CAUAAUGUGGUGGUUUCUCUCCCUUGGGAGGUUUACCAAUUGGGGUUGGUGGCUUGUGUUCUGGGAGUGGUUUCUCUCCCUUGGGAGGUUUAGUGGGUGACUUGUGUUCUGGAGGUGGCUUCUCCACCGAAGGCUUGUGCUCCGGUGGUGGCUUUUUGGUUGGAGGGGGCUUGGGGUAAUCAGCAAGAGAUGGGGUGGUGAGAACCACCAGUCCAAGGAACAACACUAGCAAGUAUGUGGGAGACAUUUUUGAGUUUGGGCUGAUCAGAUGAUGCAAAACUAAAGCAUUACGUGACCUUUUAUAGCAAGUAGCUCCCAAUACCUACUUGACACGUGUUACUGUGACCCAUAAAUAUUAUGGGGUCUAUUUGUGCCCUACCGGGUUGAAAACUUGGACAAUUGGGCAAGGACCCGCCUGACUAUGGAGGACUACUGAGGUGUGAUCACAGCUUUAGGAUUUUUCUUCCUCUGCAGCCGUCUUGCCGUUGGCAUGAUUUUCUUAAUCUCAAAUAAAGGCAUAGUUAUAGAGUUGUUUAAUCUCUAAAUGGGAUUUUAUAUAUCUUCAGAUAGCCAUUAAUACAUUUGAUGAAGAAAGAAAGACAAGUGCAUACAACAUGUAUACGACUAGCUUUCAUGGAGUUCAUUUAUGAUCAGUUUUCCUGUACAUGUAAACCAAGAUCAUAUAUGUUUUUGUUCCACAACAAUUUUGGAAUCUUGUUUAUCCGUUUUUAUCAUUAUAAUGUCACAUAGGCUGCCAACUUGGGCGCUAAAUUAAAGAUCCAGUUGGGCAAGUUCGUUUCAGAAUUUCAAUGGUGGAUUCAGGAAUUGUUUUAUAAGAUAUGCAAAAUAGUAGAGGGAUGAAUAGUGUUUCAUUAAGAAAAGAGCCCUGUAAAAAUAUUGUUUAAAGGUGCCAUAGAAACUAUAAUCAAUAAAUAACUUUUUUUCCCCAUGGGUGGUGUUUCUUGUGGGGAUCAGUGACUGGUUUGAGUCAACGCCGUGUCUCUUUAGUCCAGAAAUCAACUAUUUUAUGCAUUGAAUACAUCAACAAAGAAAAUAUGAAAGCCAAAUGACACCUCCCCCGCAAAAACUAAACCCUGGUUGCUAACUUUCUAUGUUUCAGUUCCAUUCACACAAGAAUAUUAGUUCAAGUUUGAGAAAAAUGGCGACUUACCUAGUGAUAACUCGGUCUUGGUUUGCGAUUUGACUUUAACGUCAUGGGUUGAAGCCUCCUACAAUCAUCGUGUAUGCUAGUUCAAAGCUCGUGGAAGAAGUUAUACAGGGAGGGAGAAACCUCCACAGCAAGCUCCAAAAGAGAAUUAUCACAUUGAAAGCUCCAGUUGAACACUGGGUGAAAGCCAUAACAAGAUUGGUUUUCUAUCGCUCUUUUAAGUAAUGGAAGAUUAUUAUCUCUGCUUGUCACUACAACCGUGCAUGCUGCUAGAUCUUUCUAGACACUUCAAACAGUGAAACCAAGUAUGAUUCUUUUUCUCUUGAGUGGGUCCACUUGCAUGCCAAUGAACGAGUUGAAAAGUUGGACAAUUGGCCACAGCGCGCACUUACCUUCUGGAACCGAAGGUCAGUGAAGUGGGGUUCCUUUUGGCCCCUUGUGUUUCUGUUCCAACCUACUCCAGGAACCGAAGUUCAGUGAAGUGGGGCUACUUUUGGCCUCUUGUGUUUCUGUUCCAACCAAACAAAAAUGGGAGGGAAAAAUAGCAUUAUGCUUGUGCUAAAGAUCAACGCAUGAUAGCUGAAUAAGGGAGAAAAAGGCAUUGCUAUCUCAAUUUCAUAAACUUGAUAAGUAGUGACAUUAAUAGUCUUCCUCAUAGAUGGAUACAUGGUUUUAUUUUAUUUAUUUAUUUUUAUUUUUUUGUUUUAUGUCAAUGCUAAUGAAUGAAGUGCAUUAGCUUGUUUUGUGACUAGAACUACAAAUGUCCAAAUUGGAGCUUCUCCAAUAUAUUUCUCAGUGAGUUAUUGAUUAGAACUCUUGGAUUGAGUUCCAAGAUUUGAAUCAGACCCCUCUAGCAGCUUCAGGGGUACGUAGCAACCUAUAGCAUAUUAAUGAAGACUUAGGAUUUAGACUUAGGAAUACAAAUUAAUAUGUACCUCAUGCUCUGACUAGCUUCCCUGCGUAUGCACAAAAUGGAGAUGACUCCCAAAAAAAUAGCAGAAUCGCCUUAGUAUGUUUUUGUGGUUAAGAUGAUUCUCCACUUUAUAUAUCCACAUUGGUUCAUUAUGCAAAUUAAUCAACUAAGCUAUUUUUAUUUUUUCUUAAAUGUGAAAUAGGAGCUCCAAAUUAACCUAACCAUUGGCCUGAUUGAAUUGAUUUCACUUGCAUAAUGUUAUAGUAGAAGUCCGUAAUUUGAAUUUUAUUUUUGCAAAAGGUAACGUAAAUGAAGCAUUGUAAUUAAAUUUAUUUGUAAUUACAAACUAAUUUUAUUUUAUUAAGAAUUAAUUUAAUUACUCAUUUAAAAUAAAAAUCAGUUAUACUUUUACCAAGAUGAUAAUAUUCAUAUUUUUCUAGUUAACAUAUAUAAAAUAGUACACUUUUUCAUAUAAAAAAAUAAUUUAUGAUUUAUUAUAAUGUUACUAUUCACAUUUUACUAAAUUGAUGGUACAUGAUAGUGAGAGAAGGGGGUGUCACACUCAGCUAAAGUUCUUUUCAAAAUAUUGCAUGGUGUUUAAUUUUAUGUGUCGGCGCGCGUGUGAAUGGAACCUGCAAAAGUCCAAAUUGGCGUUUCUCCAUUUUCCACAUAGGAUGGUGACGUUAAUAGACAAAGAUACAAUAUCUGUAGACAUUGCUUAAAAAUCGAUGUGAAGUAUUAGAAAUUACAGGGCACUGUACUGGGGGAGCGGCUGCCCCGCCAAAGGAGGAAGAAUGUAGCAAUUUCUUCUGUUAGCCAGGCCUUAGGAUUUAUGCAUGGGAUGCCUAAUAACAAACAGAGAAAAUAUACUUUUGGGGAAGGUAUCCAACAACAGACACCAUCAUUCAGAUGGUGGGAAGGUAUCCAACAGAUGCCAUCAUUCAGAUGGUAACAUAUAUAUACAUUUAUUAGUGAGUUUUUUUAAUACCUAUAAAAAAAAAUAUACACUUUGAUAUUGUGGCUGAAUCCAUUACAUACUCAACUAACCUUGCUCAUUAGGGAUUUGACUUAACAAGGGCAACGUUGCAGUACAAGCUCAAAACUUUAUGCAGGUGACAUUACAUUUGGUAAAGAAGAGGAAAAUAACGAAAGCCAUCCAUAAAAGCAAAAUUCCACAUGGGAUGAAAUUCACAAGCUUCAUUUACGAUAGAGUCGCAUCCAGGCAAUUAAUUCCACAUUAGACCGCCUGUUGACAUGUGUACCAAUCUUUUUUCAAAAAAUAUUUAUAAAUAAUUGAUACUCACAAAAAUAAUUUAAUAUUUAUAAAGGAUAAAAAAAUAUUUUCAAAUCUAUAACAAUUUAUAAAAUAUUAAUAAAAAAUUAUCUCUUAAACUUAGUAUAGUUUUAUCAGAUUAAACUUUUAUUUUGAACAAAUAAUUUUAAUCUAAGUUUUAAAUUCUAAAAUUAUUUCCUUAAAAUAAAAUUUUAAAAUUCAACACUUCAAUUGAAAUUGUCUUUUUAAAAAAUAUCUUCUUAUUUUAAUCCUUAUAAACUAUAGUUGAUUGAAAAUACUAUUGAAGUUCUCUCUUAAAAAAAAGUCUUAUUUUAAUCUUCAUAAAUUGCCCUUGAUUUGAAAAUAAAUUUUCAGUUAUCAUAUUUUAAAUAAUAUCUAUAUUUAAAAUACUCUAUUUAAAAAAAAAUGAACUAAUUUUAAUUAUAUUAUAUUUUAUUUUUUUAUAUAUUUUUAAUGAUAAACCAAACAUAGAAAAUCAUUUUUCUAAAUAUUUUAAAAUUUCUAAGCAACCAAACAUAAUCUUCAAAAUAAAAGGAAAAUAAGGAGGGACAUUUGAGAAAUGGCGAUUAAAAAAAAGUGUACAAAAGCUCAAUUAAUUUUCUUCUAGUCUUUUAUAUAAAAAAGUAAAGGAAUUGAAAAGUAUUGAUAUGUAAAUUAAUAUUUGGAUUUUAAUAGUAUUUUAUUUGUCUUUCUCUAUCUCAUGUAAAAGAGAAUUUAAGAUAUUUCCUAAAGCAAAGCAUUAGUUAUCUGCAAUCAGUGGUGAUCAUGCCCCAUGUCAAUUUCGGACCCAUAUCUUAAAACUGUAUAAUUUGCAUUCAAACAUUACUGAUUUCUCAGAUGUUUCAUACUCCACAGAAGAGCAUUGUUUGUGAAAGCAUGCAUUUAUGUUGGAUUUUGGAUGAUGUGGGAACUGGGGCAAGGAUCAUAUGGAAGAGUGGUCGAUUUUGUUCUGUACUUUAACAUUUGAAAUAGGAGAAGCUCGGGCAUUUGUGGGGCUUAAUUGAUUUUGAAGCCUGAAAUUGCGUUUCUGUCAUUUUGUAAAAAAUAUGGCAGAUUCCAUGCUCUCAUAUGUUUGGUCUGUGGCCAUGUAUAGAUGCCCCUUAGUGACCAGUUUGUAACUGUCAAUCAUAGUGUUUUGACUCUGGCUCAACAACAUCAGCCAUUGACGGAUUUUCAUACUUGCAAAUCAAAUAGUCUUCUUCCUCCCUUAGGAAUUUCGGUUUAAAUGUUAUUAAGCAUACAUUUGGCUGACAAUUAUUAACCACUUCAUGAUAUGGUUUCUUACCCUUAAUCAAUGGUUUCUAAGUGAAUAUAUGCAGAAGGAAAUCUGAACUGUAGACAGCAGUAUUGAUAACUCUCAAUAUUCUUUAUAUAAGAGAAUAAACAACGUCAUAGUGAUCGUCGCCUACAAGAAAGGUACAUUUCCCAACAAGAUGUAGUUGUGACUGGUACAUGGACGCAAUUAACUCGUACAAAAGAAUAAGACCAGUGCACGGCAGCUCUUAUUUUACAUGCUAAUUAUGCUAACCAAAGUCACUCAGUUGGGAUGGGAGGGAGAUGGAGGUUUGUGCGGUGGCUUGUGGGGCGGAGUUGGUGGCUUCUUUUCAGGAGCUUGUGGCUUUUUCGGAGCUGAAGGAGGCUCAAUCUUAUGAGGCGGCUUGUACGAGUCUUCUUUACUCUCGACAGGAGGGUGGCCAGGGUUGUGACCAUAAUGUGGUGGCUUCUCUCCCUUAGGUGGCUUGCCAACUGGGGUUGGUGGCUUGUGUUCAGGAAGUGGUUUCUCUCCCUUGGGAGGUUUACCAAUUGGGGUUGGUGGCUUGUGUUCUGGGAGUGGUUUCUCUCCCUUGGGAGGUUUAGUGGGUGACUUGUGUUCUGGAGGUGGCUUCUCCACCGGAGGCUUGUGCUCCGGUGGUGGCUUCUCCACCGGAGGCUUGUGCUCCGGUGGUGGCUUCUUGAUUGGAGGGGGCUUGGGGUAAUCAGCAAGAGAUGGGAUGGUGAGAACCACCACUCCAAGGAACAACACUAGCAAGUAUGUGGGAGACAUUUCUGAGUUUGAGCUGAUCAGAUGAUGCAAAACUAGAAGAAUUACGGGACCUUUUAUAGCAAGUAUCUCCCAAUACCCACAUGACACGUGUUACUAUGACCAUAAAUAUUAUAGGGUCCAUUUGUGCCCUACCGGGUUGAAAACUUGGACGCUUGGCCGAGGACACACCUGACUAUGGAGGACUAUUGACGUGUGAUCACAGCUUUUGGAUUUUUCUUCCUGUGCAGCUGUCUAGCGGUUGGCAUUAUUUUCUUAAUCUUAAAUAAAGGCAUAGUUAUAGAGUUGUUUAAUCUCUAAAUGGGAUUUUAUAUAUCUUCAGAUAGCCAUUAAUAUAUUUGAUGAAGAAAGACAAGUGCAUACAACAUGUAUACGGCUUGCUUCAAUCGAGUACAUUUAUGAUCAGUUUUCCUGUGCAAGUAAACCAGUUUUUUGUUCCACAACUAUUUUGGAAUCUUGUUUAUCAGUUUCUAUCAUUAUAAUGUCACAUAGGCUGCAAACUUGGGCACCCAAAGAUCUAGGUGGGCAAAUUUGUUUCAGACUUUCAAUGGUGGAUUCAGUAAUUGUUAAAAGGUGUUUCUUCAUUAAGGAAAGAGUCCGGUAAAAAUAUUGUUAAAAGGUGUCAUAGAAACUAUAAUAAAUAAAUAACUUCUUUUCCCCAUGGGUGGUGUUUCUUCUGGGGAUCAGUGACUGGUUAGGGUCACCCAAAAUGAGUCCAGAUUAAAAUUGGUUCGAGUCAAAGCAGUCUCUUUUGUCCAGAAAUCAACUAUUUUGCGCAUUGAAUGAAUCGAUAAAGAAAAAAUGAAAGCCAAAUCACACCUCCCCUGCAAAACCUAAACCCCGGUUGCUAACUUUCUAUGUUUCAGUCCUAUUCAUAUAGGAAUAUUGGUUCAAGUUUGAGAAAAAUGGCAACUUACCUAGGGUUUACUUGGUUUUGGUUUGCGACUAUUUACGCAACCAACCAUGAGUUUGACUUUAACGUCAUGGGUUGAAGCCUCCUACAAUCAUGUAUGAUAGUUCAAAGCUCGUGGAAGAAAUUAUACAGGAAGGAAGAAACCUCCAAAGCUAGCUCCAAAAGAGAAUUAUCACAUCGAUAGCUCCAGAGAUUCCCAAGGGAACUGAAUCAAAGACAAGUUCCUCACUUUUUCUUCUUUUGAGGCCAAAUAUGAACCAAGGAUCACACGACCUCAUUCAACUUCAUAAGUUUGAUUUCAUGCAGUUGAACACUGGGUGAAGGCCAUGACAAGAAUUGAUUAAAAAAUUCUACCACUCUUUUAAGUAAUGGAAGAUUAUUAUCUCUGAUUGGCACCACAACAGCACAUGCUGCUAGAUCUUUCUAGACACUCCAUGCAAUGAAAGCACAAUGGAUCUUGUAAUGAUAGAAACUAAGCCAUGCUACAGUACUAGAUGAGGGGGUAAAACUAGUAGACAUCUUUCUAGACACUCCAUGCAAUGAAAGCACAAUGGAUCUUGUAAUGAUAGAAACUAAGCCAUGCUACAGUACUAGAUGAGGUGGUAAAACUAGUAGACAUGGCUGGCAGUUGAUUACUACUCAAAAAGUACUCUUUUAUAGCUUGAAACUAACUGUUUUAAACACUUUUGAGUAGUAGUUAAUACCUUUUAACUUAAUUGGCACAUUAAGGAACCUAGCAAGGGUUACUAAUCAACAUUUGGCAAGUUUUGAUGUUUUUGGUAGCUAUUUGAUCAUUGAAACAAGCCAAGAAUGAGGGGGAAUUUUGUGAAGUCCAUGGCAAUGCAAGUUAAAGCUCAAAUACAUGAAGAAUCCAAGCUUUGGAGCACUUCAUAGCCCUUUGCCAAGCCAAUCAAAGAUGCAAGGAAGAAAACCAAAGGAAGAAAUCCAACAAUCAGCAUUUUGGCAUGGCUAUGUGAAAUUUCGCACACCAUGCGAAACCACAAGAGGCAGCCAAAGAAUUUCGCAUGGUAUGCGAAAUCUUCUUGUGCACUGACUCUGUUAGAUUUUUAUCUUCAGAUAUUUUGUGUAAUUUCCUAGUUUCUCCUUGUAACCAACUUAGAUAUUUUCUUUUAUAUCUUUUUUUAUAUUUUUUAGGUAACAUCAUAUAUAAGAGGAGAGACAUAAGGAGGAUAUGGAUGUUUUUCAUAGAACACUUGUAAAUUUUUGGUAGUAAGAAAUAUACAAAGCUUUUUGCUCUGCCUUACCUUCUCAAGGGAUGAGUGGCUAGGUUUUCUUGGAGUGAGGGAAGCUAGGUGAAGGACCUGAAUGCAAAGGUGGGAGUUUUCCUUACUUUAAAUGAAAGUAGUUGUUAAACAUUAAUGGUUUUUAUUUUAAGGUUUAGCUUUAAAUCCCUGAAAAACACCUUGAAUGGCCAAUACUUGGUAAGCUUUUUAGAUUCUAUGGAUGCUUAUUGCUAGAUCCAUGGAUGUCUAUUAGUUAUCAUUUACGAGCCAUUGGAAGGUGAUUCAAGGUGAGGGUCUUUAGUGUUUGAAGCCAUUAAUGGGAAGCAAUUACCAUUUUUUCAUGAAUCCUUUGGAUCAAAUCUUAAUUGCUAAAUAUAAAACCGGUUUCGAGAGAUAACCACCAUCCUUUAUGUUAUUAUCCCCAACGCGAGGAGAAGAUCCGAAAUCUUCCUUUUUAUCUAAGGAACCCGAUCCUAGUGACCUAAAGCUCCAAGAUACCUUUUCUUUGUAGUUAACUUCAUUUAUUGUUUUUGCUUAACUUAAAAUCAAUCUUUGCAACCACAAUUCCAUUUUCUUUAAAAGCUAAUUUUUAUAAGGAAAAACACCAUUUUAUUUCCUUCACUAAGUCAACUGUACGAUGAAAACCCAUCCCUGUGGACGAUCCUAGAGCCACUAUACUAUGUUAGCUAUGCUACCCUAGUGUGAGGUGAUUUAGGUUUUAUAAAUUUUUUUGAUAACACCCAUCUGAGCCAGAAUCAAAUGGCACGACUGAACCAGGGACGAAUCAAAUGACGCCGCUACCAAGGAUGGUGCCAAAGUACAUUGACAUGACUUUUGGUGAACACUUGUGAUCUUCACCACAAGUUUGGUGAUUUUUCUUUUACUAAUUUUUUUUAUUUUAGCUUAUCUUUUAUUUAGUUUUUAGUUAACCUUAAAUUUUUCCUAGAAUUGUAUUUCUUUUGUUUUCUUUGUUUUUGUUUCAGUGAUCUUUAGUUGUGCAUGCCCUAUUGGAUAAGAGAUAUUGAGGGAAUACUUGUGAAGAUUGAAACUCCUCGAGAAACUGAGUUAGAAGUGUGCUUGAACAUCAUGGAUGUUCCACCUGAAGACCAGAAUAGCCAACAUGGUUAAGAGGAUAAUUUCAACACAUACCGAUCCAUGAGGAACCGCAUACAUCCACCUUGUAUGAGUGCACCGUCAGGCAUAAUGCCUCCCACUGAGCAGCUAGUAAUCUGACCUCACAUUGUGCCACUCCUACCUACUUUCCAUGGGAUGGAGAGUGAGAAUCCCUACUCGCAUAUUAAGGAAUUCGAGGAGGUUUGUAAUACAUUCCAAGAAGGAGGAGCUUCAAUUGACUUGAUGAGGCUCAAGCUAUUUCCUUUCACUUUGAAGGAUAAGGCCAAGAUUUGGCUUAAUUCUUUAAGGCCAAGAAGUAUCCAAACUUGGAUUGAUUUGUAAGCCGAGUUUCUUAAGAAGUUCUUCCCUACCCAUAGGACCAAUGGUUUGAAAAGGCAAAAUUUGAACUUCUCAGUUAAAGAGAAUGAGAAAUUCUAUGAGUGUUGGGAGAGCUACAUGGAAGCUAUUAACGUUUGUCCUCACCAUGGCUUUGACACAUGGCUCUUAGUGAGCUAUUUUUACAAUGGUAUGUCUUCUUCAAUGAAGCAACUCCUAGAAACUAUGUGUGGAGGAGACUUCAUGAGUAAGAAUCCGGAGGAAGCCAUGGACUUUUUGAGUUAUGUGGCUGAAGUUUCAAGAGGAUGGGAUGAACCAAAUGCUAGAGAGGUGGGAAGAAUGAAGUCUCAACCUAAUGCUAAGGGUGAGAUGUAUGUUUUGAAUGAAGACAUUGACAUGAAAGCAAAGGUUGCAGCUAUGGCAAGGAGAUUGGAAGAGCUAGAAAUGAAGAACAUACAAAAAGUGCAAGCCAUUUCUGAGACAUCAAUGAAAGCUAUGCCUUGUUCCAUUUGUCAAUCUUAUAAGCACCUAGUGGAGGAGUGUCCUACAAUUCCAGCAGUGAGAGAGAUGUUUGGUGAUCAAGCAAAUGUUAUUGAUCAAUUCAAGCCUAAUAACAAUGCUUCAUAUGGCAACACCUACAAUUCAAAUUGGAGGAACCAUUCAAAUUUCUCUUGGAAACGAAAGCCACCUCAAUACACACAACCUACUCAAGCACCUUAGCAAUCCUCGAAUCUUGAACAAGCUAUUGUGAACCUUAGCAAGGUUGUGGGAGACUUUGUGGGAGAUCAGAAGUCCAUCAAUGCUCAACUGAAUCGGAGAAUUGACAGUGUGGAGAGUACAUUGAACAAAAGGAUGGAUGAGAUGUAAAAUGAUCUGUCUCAAAAGAUAGACAAUGUCCAAUACGUAAUCUCAAGGCUUACCAACCUCAACACAGUGUAAGAGAAAGGAAAGUUUCCUUCUCAACCUCAUCAAAAUCCUAAGGGUAUCCAUGAAGUAGAGGCUCAAGAGGGAGAAUCUUCAAAGGUGAGGGAAGUCAAAGUAGUUAUCACCUUGAAGAGUGGUAAAGAGGUUGAUCAACCCACAUCCAAGCCAAAGCAUAAUGAAGAGAGUGUAGCAGAAAAAGAAAAGAGAGGAAAAUAAAGGAAUUAGAAUAGAGAAAAAUACAAAGAAAGAUGACCAUGAGUCUAGUGUGGAUGAAGAGCCCGAGAGGAUGGUGAUCAAGGAAGAUAUGAUGAAGAAACACAUGCCUCCACCUUUCCCCUAAGCUUUGCAUGACAAAAAAAGAACCAAUAAUACAUCAGAAAAUUUUGAAGUAUUGAGGCAAGUGAAGGUCAAUAUCCCUUUGCUAGACAUGAUCAAACAAGUGUCGACAUAUGAAAAAUUCUUGAAGGACUUGUGCACUGUAAAGAGAGGGUUGAAUGUGAACAAGAAAGCUUUAUUGACCGAGCAAGUGAGUUCCAUCAUACAGUGCAAGUCCUAGUGAAGUACAAAGAUCCGGGUUGCCGUACCAUCUCAGUGAGUAUUGGAAGGACUUGUGUGGAGAAAGCUUUGUUGGACUUGGGAGCAAGUGUGAAUUUGCUAUCCUACUCUGUCUAUAAGCAGUUGGGAUUUGGAGAGUUGAAGCCAAUAUCCAUCACUCUAUCUCUAGCGGAUAGAUCAAUGAAGAUUCCAAGAGGGAUGAUCGAAGAUGUCCUGGUUCAAGUUAACAAAUUCUACUAUCCAGUAGAUUUUGUUGUUCUUGAUAUGGAUCCGGUUGUCAAAUGAACUAAUUAUGUUCCUAUCAUACUUGGAAGACCCUUCCUAGCUACAUCAAAUGCAAUCAUCAAUUGUAGGAAUGGAGUCAUGCAACUCACAUUUGUCAACAUGACAUUAGAGCUCAACAUCUUCCAUUUGUACAAGAAGCAUAUCCAUCAGGAGGAAAAAGAAGGUCUAGAGGAAGUGUGAAUGAUUGACACUUUAGUGGAAGAGCAUUGUGAUCGAGAAUGCAAAAAGAUUUAGUUGAGAAUUUUGGGGAUCUUGAUGAAAGGUUACUUGAACCCUCAGAUUUGCUUGCUACCCUACUCCAUUGGAAGAGAAGAGAAGAAAUUCUACCCUUAUUCAAUGAGGAGGAGACGCAAAGAGCUGCAAAGGAGAAACCCCCAAAACUUAUUCUUAAGCCACUACCCACAGAGUUGAAGUAUGUAUACUUGGAAGAAGACAAGAAGUGCCCUAUUGUUAUAUCUUCAACUCUUACCAUUCAUCAGGAGGAUUGUCUACUUGAAGUCCUUAGAAGAUGUAAGAAGACAAUAAGGUGGCUAAUUUCUUAUUUGAAAGGGAUCAGCCCUUUAGUCUGCACCCAUCAUAUUUACAUGGAGGAUGAAGCUAAGCUAAUUCAUCAACCUCAGAGAAGGUUGAACCCUCACAUGCAAGAGGUGGUUCGAGCUGAAGUUCUGAAGCUACUUCAGACCAGUAUUAUUUACCCCAUAUCAAAUAGCCCAUGGGUGAGUCCUACUCAAGUUGCGCCAAAGAAGUCUGGGAUCAUGGUGGUGCAAAAUGAUAAGGGAGAAGAUGUCUCUACACGCCUCACUACAGGUUGGAGGGUGUGUAUCAAUUACAGGAGGUUGAAUGCAGUGAUAAGAAAGGACCAUUUCUCAUUGCCCUUUAUUGAUCAGGUGCUUGAGAGGGUCUCUGGGCUUUUUUUUUUAUUGUUUCUUGGAUGGCUACUCCGGGUACUUUCAGAUAGAAAUUGAUGUUGAAAACCAAGAUAAGACCAUUUUCACAUGCCCAUUUGGAACCUAUGCAUAAAGGAGAAUGCCUUUCGGCUUAUGCAAUGCACCCGCAACUUUCCAAAGAUGCAUGUUAAGCAUUUUCAGUGAUAUGGUGGAGCGUAUUAUGGAAGUCUUUAUGGAUGAUAUCACCAUUUAUGGAAGUGCAUUUGAUGAAUGCUUGGUCAACUUAGAAGCUGUUCUGAACCGAUACAUUGAGAAAGACUUAGUGCUUAACUGGGAGAAGUGCCAUUUCAUGGUACACCAAGGGAUUGUCCUUGGGCACAUUAUCUCCAAGCAAGGCAUUGAAGUUGACAAAGCAAAGGUUGAACUCAUUGUUAAGUUGCCAUCCUCAACAAAUGUCAAAGGAGUAAGGCAAUUCUUUGGCCAUGUCGGGUUCUAUAGGAGGUUUAUCAAGGAUUUCUCUAAGCUUGCAAGGCCUCUUUGUGAAAUAUUGGUGAAUGAUGUUAAAUUCAUAUGGGAUGAUGGAUUUGAAAGGAGUUUUGAAGAAUUGAAGCUAUUUUUGACAACCGUACCAAUAGUGAGGGCUCCCAACUGGCAACUGCCCUUUGAAGUAAUGUGUGAUGUCAAUGAUUUUGCUAUAGGAUUUUUUCUUGGGCAAAGAGAAAAUGGAAAACCUUAUGUGAUCUACUAUGCGAGGAAGGCAUUGAAUGAGGCACAAAGAAACUACACAACCACCGAGAAAGAAUUGUUAGCUGUAGUUUUUGCCUUGGAUAAGUUUCGCGCUUACUUGGUGGGGUCCUUCAUCAUGGUUUUUACUGAUCACUUUGCUUUGAAGUAUCUGUUGACUAAGCAAGAUGCUAAAGCAAGGCUGAUUAGAUGGAUUCUCUUACUUCAAGAGUUCAAUCUCCAUAUCAAAGAUAAGAAAGGAGUGGAGAAUGUGGUAGCAGACCACAUUUCAAGGCUAGCUAUCGCACAUAAUUCCCAUGCUUUGCCCAUUAAUGACGAUUUUCUAGAGGGGUCUCUCAUGUUGGUGGAAGUUGUCCCUUGGUACGCUCACAUUGCUAACUACCUGGUCACGGGAAAAGUUCCAAGUGAGUGGAAAGCACAAGAUAAGAAGCACUUCUUUGCAAAAAUUCAUGCCUACUAUUGGGAAGAGCCAUUUCUAUUCAAGUAUUGUAUGGAUCAGAUAAUAAGGAAGUGCGUUCCUGAAGAAGAGCAACAGGGGAUCCUUAGUCAUUACCAUGAAAAUGCAUGUGGAGGCCACUUUGCUUAUCAAAAGACAGCCAUGAGGGUGUUGCAAUCGGGUUUCUGUUGGCCAUCACUUUUCAAAGAUGCCCACACCAUGUGCAAGAGUUGUGAUCGAUGCCAGAGGCUUGGGAAGUUGACACGCAGGAACAUGAUGCCUUUGAACCCCACUUUAAUAGUUGAUAUUUUUUAUGUUUGGGGCACUAACUUCAUGGGACCUUUCCCUAUGUCUUUUGGCUACUCUUACAUCUUGGUAGGAGUAGAUUAUGUUUCUAAGUGGGUUGAGGCAGUCCCAUGCAAACACAAUGACCAUAGAGUGGUUCUCAAGUUUCUUAAAGAGAAUAUCUUCUCAAGAUUUGGGGUGCCCAAAGCCAUAAUUAGUGAUGGGGGUACUCAUUUUUGCAACAAGCCUUUUGAAACUCUCCUAGCCAAGUAUGGGGUGAAGCAUAAGGUAGCUACACCUUACCACCCUCAAACUCAUGGACAAGUUGAGUUAGCAAACAGGGAGAUUAAAAACAUAUUGAUGAAGGUGGUGAACACAAACAGAAAAGAUUGGUCAGUCAAGCUUCUUAAUUCACUAUGGGCAUAUAGAACAACUUACAAGACCAUUCUCGGGAUGUCUCCUUAUCGCCUAGUUUAUGGCAAAGCAUGCCAUCUCCCUGUGGAAUUGGAAUACAAAGCUUGGUGGGCAAUCAAGAAGCUCAACAUGGAUUUGAGCAGAGCUGGGUUGAAGAGGUUCUUAGACCUUAAUGAGAUGGAGAAAUUGAGAAAUGAUGCCUACAUCAAUUCAAAAAUUGCAAAAGAAAAAUUGAAGAGGUGGCAUGAUCAGUUGAUUUCCCGCAAGGAUUUUCAAAAUGGACAAAGAGUCUUACUUUAUGACUCUAAACUCCACAUCUUUCCGGGCAAGCUGAAAUCAAGGUGGAUAGGUCAUUUUACCAUUCACCAAGUGCAUUCAAAUGGAGUAGUGGAACUACUCAACUCCAACAAUAUCGAGAACUUCAAAGUGAAUGGCCACCGUCUCAAGCCCUUUGUGGAGUCUUUUUCUCACAACAAGGAGAAAUUCAUCCUCCUUGAUCCACAUCAAGCUUAACAAGACCAAUUUUCUUGAUGGACUUAGUCUUUCUAAAGACUAUCGAGUCCAUAACUUUUUGUUUUAUUUUUUAUUUGAGAUUUUUUCGGUAUUGUUACUUGUUUUGUUUUUUAUUUUUCGUUUUAAUUUUAUUUGGUUUGAUUUAACUUAGGUUUUUGAUGAUCAAUUACAGGGGGGAUUUCAAAUAGAGGAAAAACCAAGAUAAUUCGCACACCCUACGAAAAUUUCGCAAGGCAUGCGAAAUUUAUGGCUUAUUUUGCAUGGGGUGAAAAUUUUCGUACAUCUUACGAACCAAUUUCGAACACUUUGCGAAAAUAAACCAACCCUGCGAAAUCAUUUCGAUUACUCUACGAAAUUUUCGUAGAGCAUGCGAAAAAUUUAGCACACCAAACACCAUUUCGCAUACUAUGCAAAAACCUAAGGGGUCUGCGAAACCAUUUCGCACCUCCAAAUCCAUUUCGCACAUUGUGCGAAAACCAAGAGGCGCUGUGCGAAAAUGAAAAGUCGCCCUGUCAUCCCUUUUUAAACCCCUCGAGCCCUAAAAUCUCCAUUUCGCAAGCACCCCUGUCCUUGCGAAUCCCUCAUUUUCCUCUACUACCUUGCAACCUCGUCCCUUUCCAUUUGAUAUUGUGCCCCGCGCACAUCUCAUUUCAGAGACUCGCACUCCGCGCCCCCUCAAAGCAUGGACUCGAGACCCACCUUCCAUUUCCGACGUGGCACGGACCCAAGGAGCCCUUUCUGCCCCUUCACUAAGACACACACCAAGGCAGAAAGCCUCCUUUGCUCAAGUGCCUAGUGAUUCUCCAUCUUAGGCCUCAGAGGCCUCGGAGGCCCCGUGGAUUCCACCUUCCGAGGGUAGAGCAGCCAUUGGUCCUUCCUCUUCUACUCCUUAGCGUAGAUACGAGACGAGGAGACCACCUACUACACAAGGGGCGACUACUUCGAGCCUUGAGAAUUCAGUACGAUGCCUUCCUGCCAAGAGGGUCAAGACUUCAGGUCCAAGUGAGUCAUCCAGAGCUUCAUAGCCUAAGCCUCCUGUAGAUUCCAAGGUUCCUACUGACAUAUCACCGGAGUCUAUUAUCAGAAGCCCGAUGCUCAUAGCACCGCCCAUUGAGGGCAACUCAGAUUAUAGAGCGAGAUCUUUCCACUUGGAGCUAUAUUUUGAUCAGGAGGCCAUACGACAGCAGCCUGAGCUCCGAGACUCUUAUGGCUUACUGCAGAGGUACCAUCUUGAGGAACUUAUGACUCCUCGUGAGUUUUUUUAUCCCAGAGUAGCACUAAACUUUUACCAGUCCAUGACUACUCGUGGCGUCCCGAGUCCUACCACGAUUCACUUCACCAUUGAUAGACGUCAUGGUAUCCUCAAGGCCAGACAUAUUACAGAGGCUCUACAAAUUCCUUUCGAGCUAGAGGAUCCAUCUGUUUUUCGCUAAUGGUCCCCAGUAUCUCAGAGGGACAUGGUCCGUAUUUUAUCUAGGGGAACAUCUACAGAUUCGAUCUUUCUACGGAAGGAGCUUCGACCUGGGAUGCUCCUCUUAGAUGUGGUGCUAUGCUCCAACCUCUUUCCCUUACAACAUUCGGUACAUAGGUGAUGAGCUAUUUUGGACGCUUUAUUCCGUAUAUCAGAGGGCUUCUACUUUGGCCCGCACCACUUGAUCAUGGUCUCCCUCAUCCACUUUGAGGAGAAGGUUCAUAGGAAGAAGCUUCAGAGGGUGGACACCAUUCCAUUACUAUUCCUGAGGUUACUUUGCCAGGUCUUGGAGUACAUGGGCUUUCCUACUGAGCCUCGGCUCGAGCUUUGCCGCCUUUGUCGAGAGUGAUCCACUCUCGACAAAUGGAAUUAGUUGGCGGGCUAUUCUGCACCUCCAGGAGCCCCUCCCAUGGUAGCACCUCCAAUGUCCCCACAGGCAAAGUAGGGCGAGCUCCCGGCAAAGACUGUACCACCAAUGCCCACACUUGAGGCUAUUUCUGCUGCUCUGCCUAUGACUCCUACUGUUCCACCAGUUGGUCCUUUUACAUCCGAGCCUUCCAUCACCAUCUCGGCUUCGGAGUUUCGCGCCCUUGUGCAUACCUUUCAGACACUCACCACCACACAUACUCCUCUCUUCUAGCAAAUGGUUGAGAUGUGUGCCCAUCAGGACCGGAAGACUACUAUACUCUGCCAAAUUCAGCAGCACCUAAGACUUUUGCCUCAACCUCAACCUAACCAUCCCAUAUCAUCAGAGCCUCUAGCUCCAACUGAGGAUACUAUUCCACCUGAGAACACUACCACAGUAGAGGUCCGGUUUCCACCACCUUAAGAGGCCACCACAGCUACAUCAGAGGAUGUGUCAUCUCCACUUGAGGCUCCCACUACUUGAUCAUAGGACAUAUCUUUAUCUUAUUGUAUUUACAUAUUAUAUUACUAGAGAUUUGUCCUUGUUUUGAUACUUUAUAUUCUGGGAUUGGAUGUAUUGCCUGAUGAUAUCUCAAUUGUACUUUCUCAUAUUAAUAUAUAGACAUCAAUUUUUUUUAGUAUACUUAGCAUUUUUCUAUUUCCUCUACUCAUUACUCUUUUGUUUUUUUUUACUCAUGUGGUUUCUCUUAUACAACUCAGACUCCAUUUCACUCAGGAGGUACCACUUCCUCCCUUUAUUUUCAAUUGCUCUUGAAAUAUUGAGUGCAAUGUUGAUCUUGGUUGGGGGGAGAGUUGAGGAAGGAAGUUUUGUUAAUAAUGCUAGGUUAAUUUGUUAAUUUAGUUACUUUCUGCUUAAUUUUAAAAGUUUUCACUCUACUUUCCAUGGUUAUUAAGGAAAAAUUCUCAAAAUGAAAUGGGAGAAAUCGAAUUCUUGCAUUUUUACUUGAAUCUUAGAAUUUGUAUCAUGCUUAUUAAAGUUGAUGAAUUAUUGAAACUCCUAUUGAAUUCAACCUUAUUUUUUCCACUUUAAUCUUACCACACACGGUGCACAUUAGGUUCCAGUUAUAAGAUAAAAAACUAUCUCACCCCCUAAACUUAGAAAAAUUUACACUUGGUACCUUUGACAUCGUUUUAAUAGUGUUGGGACACCUUAUAAAAGGCCAAUGAGCCUUUAAAAAAAAAAAAAAAAAAAAAAAGAGAAAGAACAAAGUAUUGCACUUGCCUUGAAACCUGAGCAAGAUCCGAGGGGUAUACAGUGAAAGUCUUUAAAACCUGGUGCCCUAAGCCUUGAUUGGUUGGGAGUCACCGACCUCAAUGCUCGUUAUAAGGGUGAAUAGGUGGAGUUUAACAUAUUGUAGGUGCUUGGGUAUUGAAUUUCAAUCUCAAAAGUCCGGGAAAAAAUCUAAGGAGUUAGUGGUCAAAAGAUCCUUAAAGCUUGAUGCCCUAAACCUUGAUUGGUUGAGAGUCAUUGAUGGAUCCCCGCUACAUGGACAUUUUAGAAAACAAUACCUUUAGCAUUGCACGCCUACAAUGAAAAAAAAAUGUGAAAUAAAAGAGGUGCGUUCUUAGCCUAUUGGAGGUUGGUCAGUUUGCUAAAGUUUGAGAAAUCUAGGUUGGGGGGAGAGAAUAGUCCGACAUACUAUAAUAAAAAACUAAUAACCUUAACACUUAGAUUUUUGUGGAAGAGUAAGGAUUGGACCUUUAGGGGUGGAAAUUCUUUUGAUGCUUAAAUUUGCAUAAUGCCUACUCUUUAUAAAUUAUGAUUAGGCAAGAGAUUUGAUGACUCUUGUUCAAAGUUGGGUUUUUCCUCUUUGAUGUUCCAUGAGAGAGUAUAAUCCUCAUCAUGCCACUUGAAAUCUUUUUGGAGUGAUUAACAUGAUUUUGUAAAUUAUUUUACUGUCUAUUUUUCUUUAUCUCUCUUUUAUUGCUAAUGGACUAGCAAUAUGUCAGUUGGGGGGAGUGAUUACUACUCAAAAAGUACUCUUUUAUAGCUUGAAACUAACUGUUUUAAACACUUUUGAGUAGGUGUUAAUACAUUUUAACUCAAUUGGCACAUUAAGGAACCUAACAAGGGUUACUAAUAAGUUUUUGGCAAGUUUUGGUGUUUUUGGUAGCUAUUUGAUCAUUGAAACAAGCCAAGAAUGAGGGAGAAUUUUGUGAAGUCCAUAGCAAUGCAAGUUAAAGCUCAAAUACAUGAAGAAUCCAAGCUUUGAAGCACUUCAUAGCCCUUUGCGAAGCCAAUCAGAGAUGCAAGGAAGAAAACCAGAGGAAAAAAUCCAACAACCAGCAUUUUCGCAUGGCUGUGCGAAAUUUUGCACACCAUGCGAAACCACAAGAAGUAGCCAAAGAAUUUUGCACACCAUGCGAAAUUUCGCAUGGUAUACGAAAUCUUCCUAUGCACCAACUCCGUUAUAUUUUUAUCUUCAGAUAUUUUGUGUAAUUUCCUAGUUUCUCCUUGUAACCAACCUAGAUAUUUUCUUUUAUAUCUUUUUUUUAUAUUUUUUAGGUAACAUCAUAUAUAGGGGGAGAGACAUAAGGAGGAUAUGGAUGUUUUUCAUAAAACACUUUUAAUUUUCUGGUAGUAAGAAAUAUACAAAGUUUUUUGCUCUGCCUUACCUUCUCAUUUUGUUUUCACCUAUCUUUCUAGCCAAACAACCUCUGAGAAUGAUUUCUCAGGGGAUGAGUAGUUAGGUUUUACGUUUCUUGGAGUGAGAGAAGCUAGGUGAAAGACCCAAAUGCUAAGGUGGGAGUUGUCCUUGCUUUAAAUGAAAGUAGUUGUUAAAUAUUAAUGGUUUUUAUUUUAAGGUUUAGCUUUAAAUCCCUUAAAAACACCUUGAAUGGCCAAUACUUGGUAAGCUUUUCGGAUUCUAUGGAUGCUUAUUGCUAGAUCCAUGGAUGUCAUUAGUUAUCAUUUAUGAGCCAUUGGAAGGUGGUUCAAGAUGAGAGUCUUUAGUGUUUGAAGCCAUUAAUGGGAAACAAUUACCAUUUUUUCAUGAAUCCUUUGGAUAAAAUCUUAAUUGCUAAAUAUAAAACUGGUUCGGGAGAUAACCAUCCUUUAUGUUAUUAUGCCCAAUGCAAGGAGAAGAUUUCGAAUCUUCUCAUUUGUCUAAGGAACCCGAUCCUAGUGACCUAAAGCUCCUAGAGACCUUUUCUUUGUAGUUAACUUCAUUUAUUGUUUUUGCUUAACUUAAAAUCAAUCUUUGCAACCACAAUUCCAUUUUCUUUAAAAGCUAAUUUUUAUAAGGAAAAGCACCAUUUUAUUUCCUUCACUAAGUCAACUGUAUGAUGAAAACCCAUCCCUGUGGACGAUCUUAGAGCCACUAUACUAUGUUAUCUAUGCUAUCCUAGUGUGAGGUGAUUUAGGUUUUAUAAAUUUUGUUGAUAACACCCGUCUGAGCCAGAAUCAAAUGGAACCACUGAACCAGGGACAAAUCAACAGCCUAUAUGGGAGGGACACAAGUUUAAUUGAUUUGCAUUUCAGCGUUAUAGAUAAGUAUGUUUUGGAAGAUUUGUUCUGGAAAUACUGCACCAAGUACGAUUCUUUUUCUCUUGAGUGAGUCCAUUUGCAUGCCAAUUAACGAGUUGAAAAGUAGGAGCACCUACCUCGUGCUCAUGGAACCGAAUGUCAGUGAAGUGGGGCUCCUUUUAGCCUCUUGUGUUUCUGUUCCAACCAAGGCGGCGUAGGGAAAAACAACAAUAUGUCUGUGCUAAAUAUCAACGCAUGAUAGAUGUUUUUUUUUUUUUUUUUGGUAUGUCAAGGCUAACGAAUGAAAUGCAUUAGCUUGUUUUGUGACUAUAACUGCAAAUGUCCAAAUUGGAGUAUCUCCAUUUCUCACUUCGGAUGGUUAACUUUAUAAACAAGAUAUAGGAAACAUGUGAACAUCUUGAGGAACAAUUCAAAUUAUUCAUUAGAAGUCCUGGGUUAAGUUCCAAGAUUUAAAUCAGACCCUUCUAGCAGCUUCAAGGGUACUUAGCAACCUAUAACAUAUUAAUGAAGAUUUAGGAUUUAGACUCCGGAAUACAAAUAAAUAUGUAUCUCAUGCUUUGACUAGCUUCCCUACAUAUGCAUAAAAUGGAGAUGACCCAAAAAAAAUAGCAGAAUCUAGCUUCCCUACAUAUGCACAAAAUGGAGAUGACCCAAAAAAUAGCAUAAUCGCCUUAGUUUCUGUGGUUAAGGUGAUUCUCCGCUUAAUAUCCACAUUGACUCAUUAUGCAAAAUCAACUGAGCUAAUUUUAUUUAUUUAUUUAAUGUCAAAUAGGAACUCCUAAUUAACUGAUUACUGUCGAAAAGUGCUAUUUUGUAGACCUAAUUAUAAGGGUUUUAAGCACCUUUGAGUAGUAAUCAUAUUCAUUUAACCUAAUUAAUUCAUUAAGCUCCUUAGUAAUUAGUUCUAACCAUUUUUAGUGGCAAGUUUACAUGUUUUUCAUCAGCUUAUGAACCAAUUCAAGCAUGCCAAUUGAUGGAGGAGCUACUUGGGCGAGUUAAGCAAGGAUUUUGGACGUUUACAGGCUUGAAUUUCAAGUGGAAACACGAGCACAAGCAAUGGGAACACCAUUUCGCAAGGGGAGGCAAUUCACCUUGCCAAAUGACCAAUUUCGCAAGGGGAUUUUCCUCAUGGUGCAAAAUUUGGUCAUUUCGCACCAUGAAGAAACCACCUUGCAAAAUUUCGCAAGGUGGAUUUAGGCACCUUGCGAAAUGCCAAAUUUCACAAGGUGGCUUUUCACCUUGCGAAAUUUGGACCUUUCAUCUUCCCCCCUUGCGAAAUGCCUUUGAAAUCCCCUGUUUUGAGACGCUGUUGAUGAUAUUCCACUGCCGGUUCUCCAAGAUAUUUUGCUUGACUUUUAGCUUUAUAAAUACCUAUUUUACCCUUGUAAUCAACCAAUGAAAAGGUUGCUUUUGUAAUAGCUCUUGUAAUUUAGCUUUUUAUUGUCUUUAAAUAGAGGUGAAGAGCCUCAGACACGAUCAUCUUGUAACCUGUAACUUUAUAAGUUAUAAGAGCACUUUUGUUCAUACGCUUCUUUUCUCUUUUCUUUCUCAUUUUCUUAGUAGCCAAACAUCCUUGGAGGAUGAAAUCCCCAAGGAUGAGAGGCUAAAACCUUUUAGUUUCUUGAAGUAAUGGAUGCCAUGUGAAGCUCCCGUGUCAGGAUGGAGAUUUCCAAGCCAUAAAUGUAAGUAGCUGAGCGUCAUAAAUGUUUUCAUUCAAAGUAAAGCUUUUAAUCCCUCUGACUUGCUUUGAAUGGCCAAUACUUGAUAACCUUUUGGUCUCAAUGGAUUCUUAUUGUUAGAUCCACUGACGUUCAUUAGUUAUCUCCUACGAGCCAUUGUAUUGCAAGUCGAGGAGAUGACCUAUACCAAUAAAAGAGCAUUUAUGAGGUUCAACUACCCUUUUUGUAAGUUUUCAAGGACUAAAACUCAGUUGUUAAACUCAUACCGGUUCGAGAAGUAAGCAUCACCUUAGUUGCUUCCCCAACUCGAGGUGAAAAGUCCCAAAAUCUCCAUUUUUACACAGUGAGUUAAGCAUGGCUAUCCAAAGCUUUAAGAAACUUCUUUUUCCAUCUUUUAACCUAUUUUCAUGUUAGUUUAGUUUACAACACCUUCAUCUUUUUAUGUUUUCAUCUUAACCUAAUUUUUAUUAAGAAAAGUUCACUCCAUCCUCCGAACUUCACCAGUUAAAGUAAAAACCCUUCCCAGUGUUCGAUCCUAGAGCCACUAUGCUAUAGUAGCUUUGCUACUUUAGUGUAAGGACCUUAGGUAUAAAUUUUGUUGAUACCCUUACAUGCCAAGCUACCAAGAGUCGGGUUAUCAUUAACCUAACCAUUGGCCUGUGUAAAUUGAUUUCACAUGCACAAUGUUGUAGUAGAAGUCCAUAUUUUGAAUUUUAUUUUUGUAAAGGUAAGGAAAAUGAAGCAUUGUGUAAUUAUAAAAAUAACUUCAUUGGAAUUCACAAGGUUCACCCAAAAUGGAGCUACAUCUGUAUUCUAUCCUACAGUAGACUAUAUAGAUUGUACAAUAGUAAAUUGCAAAUACAAUUAAUAAGUCUUGUGCUUCCUUACUAAUAAUCCUUUGACAUGAACAUUGCAGCACUAAGGUCCUCUUGGGAAGACACCUUGCACCCAUGAGAGCACUAAGAGGAAGCAAGGCAGAGUCAUGGGUGCAAUGUCAUGACUUGUUGUUGCACCAAGAGAGGCUUGGUGAUGCCAUGGUGUUGCAGUAGCAAGAAUGUUGCCUUGGCAGGGACACGAUCUAGGGAUAGAUGCCAAGAAAGGCUUAGCACUCACAUGAGUUGCACAAAGAUGAAUGUAAUAGAGCAUCAGAGAGACGUCUUGGCAAGUAAAUGAAUGGAUCCAAGAGACAACAACAUGAGGAGUUUCAAAUGGAUAAGGAAUGACUCAAAGACAUUUGAAAGCUACAAGUUGGAUUCUAAUUACGAUUGCAAUUUGAGUUUGAGUAGGAGUUUAGAUUUUGAUUGUAAUUGUAGUAUGAGUUGGACUAGGAUUGCUUAUCCUUAGUCAAUAUAGGAGCGGUUCGUGUCACCCUAUGAAAAGAGUUUGAGUAGGGACUAGGAUUGCUUACUCCUAGUCAAAUAUGGAGUAGGUGGUGCCACACCUAUAAAAAAAAGGGACAACAUGAGAGAGAGAGAGAGAGAGAAAGAGAGAGUGAAUUCACUAAAGAUAUUGUGGGAGUUUUGCUUUGUUACGUCUUGUAUUAUUACUUAGAAUAGGAAUAAAAUACAAGUUGGGGCUAGAGCCCCAUAAUUAAUCUCGUGUGCCUUUGUGGUUAUUCUUUAUUUGUCAUCUCGUGUGGAUUGGAUUAGGUUGACUUAGAGGGCUUCUAAGCACCACCUUUGUGGGUUAUUAUUUAUUUUCCAUCUCUUGUGGAUUAGAUUAGGUUGACUUAGAGGGCUUCUGAGCACCACCUUUGUGGGUUAUUAUUUAUUUUCCAUCUAUUGUGGAUUAGAUUAGGUUGACUUAGAGGGCUUUUAAGCACCACAUUUGUGGGUUAUUCUUUAUUUUCCAUAUCGUGUGGGUUGGAUUAGGUUGACAAGGAGAAAAAUUAUGUGGGAAAUUUGUGUUGGGACACUUACCAUAACCAAGUAAAAUCUACCAAGUCCUUUGUAAUAUCUUCAACAAAUAUUUUAGACUAGUUCUUUCAGUUAGUGUAAAGGAGGAAGAAGUGGUAUUGAUUCUAGAAAUAGGGUGUGUGUAUUUGAACUACAAUCCUUAUGAUCCUUAGGUCUCUAAACCUUCGUGAUGGGCUCCCUGACAUUUCAUAGGUUGUGCUACACAUGCGUUUGAAAUUUAGAGUGCGUUUGACAGUGAUUCCGGGAAGUGUUUUUGGCCUUUCUUACACUUGAAAAUUUUUAUUUUUCAAGUAUUAGAAAUGCUACAAACACUUUUGAAAAUUACUGUCAAACACACUCUUAGGAGCGCACAUAUAUAGUAGAAAACUAGAAAUUGUGGUUUUUUUAGGAUUUACUGUAAUGUCAUUAGGAGGGUAGUAAGUUGAAAUUGAGUAUGAACAAAUAUUUCUUUCUUUGGGAUGUUCUUCUAGUAGGUGCUGAUGAAACUGUUCUUUCUACUGCCAAUGUCACAUAUCAGCCAGAAAUUGAAAAUUUCAGUCAAGGUGUCCUCUGUUUUAGUGGUGAGGAAAGCUAGAAAUUUUAAGGUGAAGUUUUGUUAAAAACCUUAAGUAGCUGGGAUAUCAGGCCUGUUUUGCUUGAAAAAAAAAGUUGCAAGAUAACUCAUAUGCCAAACAGGUUCUGAUAUUGUGAAUCUAUCGGCAGACAUCAGUAAUCUCAUCUUCUGAGAUGGAUGUUGGGGGUGCAUGUGGUGGUGGAGGGGCAAGGUUUCAUUUGGUUUAUUUUGUUGAUGGAUAUUGUCUAGCCACCUGCGCCAAGUUUGAGGGGUGGUGGGUUGUGAUGACCCUACAAUUACUAUUAAUUUCUUCAUCUUUUACCGAUUAAAGUGUCCGAACAGUCGAAGUUACCCUUAUGCAUGUCAACUUGAUCACUUACCUCUUCAAUGGAGUUUAUGCUGGUUCAUUUAGGAACUGAUUUUUAUUGUUAUGUAUUAUAUGCUGAUGUUUAGGUCUCUCCAUCAUCACUAUAUACAAAAAUUCUAGGUUGAUACUAUAGGUUGAGAUUUAUUUUUUAAAUAAAAAAUAAUAAAAAUAAAAAUUAUGGUGAUGUUUAGUUGUUUUAUGGAAAAUUUUAACAAGUAAAAGUUAUUUUUGGGCAAGUUUUCAAACAAAAAGAAAAGUAAAAGUUGUUUUGACAAAAACAUAUAGAAAAAAAAAUCAUAGAAAAUAAAUAAUUUCCCCAUAUUCUAACUUUUUUGAAUUUUUCUCAAUGGGCAAAGGAAUAUCAAAUCAAGUUUGAGUAGGAUUUCUUAAUUUUUAAAAUAACUUACAAUUAAAAAAUUUUGGUGUUUUCAUUUUUGGACAAUUUUUUAUUAAGCAAAUGGACUCUGAGUCAUGCAAGAGAUAUGGUUCAUUAACCGGUCGAACAAUUUUUUUAAAUUAAUUUAAAAGUCAAAUACAUAAUCAAUUUCACAAAAUUUAUAAACAAAAAUAGGUUUAGAGAAGAUCUACACAUAAUUUUACUUUUCUAAUUUUAUUUUAUUUUAUUUUUUGUUGGAAAAUAGUCUUCAAAUCAUGUAAGAUUUAAUAGGUUAAAUUUGUUAACAAUAAAUUUUAAAUUAUAAAAUAUAAUCUGGAACUCAAAAAUCAAUUCAAGUAAUGCUAAAAAAAAAUCAAAUUUGGUAUAGAAUGACUUUGUAAAUUUUUUUACAAAACAAAUGAAUUUUAAAUCAAGUGAGAUUUAAUGCAUUAGAUUUUUAUCAAAUAUAGUAAUUUUAAAAAUAAAUUUGGAACUCAACAAUAGACACAAUAAAUACCAAAAAAUAAUGAACCAAAAUUGGUUUGGAAUAACUCCACAACCUUUUUUUUUUUUUUUUGGUGCACACGAAUUUUCUUACUAGGUAUAUUGCUUUCAAAUUGAGAAAGAUUUACCAUUUAGAUUUUUUUUUAAUGAGUUUAAUGGUAUUUUAAAAUAAUUCAAAAUUUAAAAAAUUGACUAAUUAAUAUUAUAAAUUGAUAAACCAAGACUAUUUCAAAAUGCAUUGGGGGCUAAGGGGGUUGAAAAUAGGGACAAUGGGAUGGGUUUGGGACAUGACACUCAUAUCUCAUUUCCAUUCCAAUUACACAGUUAUCUCCCAUCCUUAUCCCAAACUUGUGUUGGAGCAAGUUGAUUUGUUCCCAUCUUUGUUGACGAAAUGACUAAUAACCUCAUCCCCUCCUUAUCUUAGAUGUACAUUUUGUCAAAUUUGAUCAGGUAUGAUUGAUCCAAGCCCUAACCCUAAUUGGUAAUGAGUGAAUACUACACCUAAUUGCAUUCUUCUUUCAUUGCAAAAUAAUGAGAUUAUAAUAAUCUAGCAAAUAAGAAAAAAUAGUAUGGAAGUUCAAAUUAACACCAUAACUAUCAAUAAUUUUAAGCUUAUAGAUGACUUAAAUGAUUAAAAACUAAUGCAAAAUCCUAAAAAAAAUAAAAAUCAUAUAAAGAAUUCACAAGAGAACAGAAUGAACAAAAACCAAAUAUGAACAUGGGUCAACAUUAGUUAUGGAUUUGGAUUCCUUUCAAGGCCAAUCUUUGAACCAAGACUUCAUCAAAUCAACUACUUCAAAGGCUUUUGUGUUCUUCUUGGGUUGUGCUCUCAAACAAAGACUUCGAGGUGAUGUUCUAGAUGAUUGAAUUACACAUAUUUAGGGUGGAGAGAUUGGAGAAGCUUGAAGAUGCCAACGAUGGGUACAAUUGAGUGGUCAAUAAGAACAAUGUAGCCUAUGACUAGUUUGAUGUCAUGGUACAAGAGUUUUAGGCAUUGAGGUUAAAGCAAGAGCAACAUGGAAUUGAUUUCGGAGUCUUUCAGUUAGUGUAAAGGAGGAAGAAGUGGUGUUGAUUCUAGAAAUAGGGUUUUAAGUGGUGCGUGAUUACUACUCAAAAAGUGCUAUUUGAUAGCCUUUAAUUAAUCCUUUUUAACACUUUUGAGUAGUAGUUUAGGCCUUUUAACUCAAUUGGCAUGUUAAGGAUCCUUUAAAGCAAUUUUGAUCACUUUGUGCAAGUUUUGGUGUUUUUGUUAGUAUUUUGAUCACCAAAGCAAGUCAAGAAUGAGGAGAACUAUGAGGAAUCAUGGGCAAAGCUUAGAAUUCAAUUGCCAAGAGUGAAUCCGGAUUGCAAGGAGAAAAAGCAAAGAGAAUCUGUCAUGAAGCCUAUUCUUGAUGACAGUCGUAGCAGCCACUUUUGGAGCACUUUCUGAAGUCCAAAUGAUGCAAGCUAUAUACCAUUUCAAAGAUCAGGAAGUCAACAAUCCAAUGCUUCAAACGGUGCGCGAUUCGGAGUUGAAACGAAGAAGUUGCAGCCAUUACAAGCCAGUCACUCUAAAGUGUUGCGGAAUCAGCCUUUUGUUGCGAGAAUUUCGCAGCACUUUUGUACAGUAAGGUGUUUCUCCUUCUGACGAUGCACGAACCAUGCCGCGAGAGGGAAGCUAGGAACUUCAAGAUGGAAGCCAACUUUGCAGCCUGGUGAAGAUAGCUUGGUCUUGCGAAAUAAUUUCGCAGCCCUCUUGGGUGUCUGCGAAAUUUCGCAGGCACCACUUUUUUCCUGCGAAAUGGCUCCGGAAGCCUCCCGAAGCUUGCUACCGACAUUGGGAGAUAUUUUCCAUUAGAUUUUUGUUGUCUAAAUUCCAAAAUACUCCUUGUAAACCACCAAUUACAUGAUUCCUUAGUUUUUAAGUUAGUAAAAAGACCAAAUAUCUAUGUAAUAAUUAGUUUUAUAUUAGUUUGCUAUAAAUACCUCUCGGGAGCAUGUUCUCAGAGAGGAGUUCCUUCUGUAACCAUUUUGGUAAGCAAGUAAAGUCUUUUCUUUCUACUGCCUUACCUUCUCACUUUGUAUUUUCAUUUUAUUUCUAAGUUAUGAAUUCUCUGAGGAGCUUUCCCCAGAGAAUGAGUAACUAAACCUCCAAUUCCUUGGAGCUAAGGUUGCCGGGGAAGGUUCCAAGUGCAAGAAUGCAAAGCUCUGUGGUUUUAGCUAGUAAUGAAGAGGAAGUGAAAUCCUUUAGUGAUUUCAAUGUUUUUAGUUAACUUAAAACACCUUGGAGUCACCUGGGCCAACACUUGGUAAGGCAAGUGAUUUCCAACCGUGGAAAUGCACUAGUUUACCCCUUGCGAGCCUCUGGUAGGUGACUUCAAGGUAGGAUUUUCUGGAAUUACCAACACUUGGUAAGCUUUUGGACUCCUAGGAGACAUCCAUUAGUUAUCUCUUGCGAGUUUGUGAAGGGGAAUCCAAGGUUAAAGAUCACCUUGAAUGGUAAGUGCUCGUGAGAGGCAUGAACCAUUGCAAGUUGUAUCAGUGAGAGAAUUAAAGUGAAAUCUAAUUGAAGGAGUCUCUGUACAUCACCGGUUAGAGAAUUGACUAUAAGUUGAAUCUCUAAUGCGAGGAAAUGAACCAUCUGACCGGAGCUAUGUCUUUUGCAUGAGGAACCACCCCAGUGAACCUAAAUCUCCAAGGAAUGCUUUUCUUCCUAAAUUAUUCCAAACUUCUGUUAAGUUAGUUAGUUUAAGUCUAAACCUUUACCAAUCAAACUUUGUGUUUUAUUUCUUAAGCUAACCGUGAAAUGAAACAAAACCAAUUCACUUGGAAUUGGUAUCCUUGAUUGCUUGCAAAUCAUUCCCAGUGAACGAUCCUUAGAGCCACUAUACUAUAGUAGCUUUGUAUUUGCUACCCUAGUGUAUGGUGUUAUAGGUAUAAAUUUUGUUGAUCACUUCCUCAAUCAAGGAACACCAGCUGAACACAAAUCAGCUGAGACACCAAUUGGGCAUGAGUCAAAUGGCGCCGUUGCCGGGGAAUGAGUGUCAAGAUCAUUGUGAUACCAUUUUUGAGCACUUGUGAUUUUCAUCACAAGUUGGUAAAGUUUCUUUCACUUUACUAAUUUUCAUUCUCUCUUUGUUUAUUUACAAUCUAAGUUUAUCUUUUUAAAAUUUAGUCUAGUUUAAUUUUGCUAUUGUAGCCUUGUUUCUCUUGUUGUCCUCUGUUCUUGUUGUCCUCUGUUUUCAUUUUAGUUGCAGCUGAAUACUAGUUGUGUAUGCCAAAGUGGAUACGAGACAUUGGAGGUAGGCUUAUUAAGUGUGAUACACCUCAGAGAGGAGAAUUGGAAGUAAUCUUGAAUAUCAUGGAGGCUGCACCUGAAGAUCAGCAUAGUCACCAAGGUCGUCAAGACAAUCUCAAUGAAUUCAGAUCAAUGAGGGACCGUAUGCAUCCACCUCGUAUGAGUGCACCAUCAUGUAUAGUGCCCCCUACAGAGCAACUAGUGAUCAGACCAUAUCUUGUUCCACUUCUACCAACUUUCCAUGGGAUGGAAAGUGAGAAUCCGUAUGCACACAUCAAGGAAUUUGAAGAUGUUUGUAAUACAUUCCAAGAGGGAGGAGCUUCAAUUGAUUUGAUGAGGCUUAAGUUAUUUCCUUUUAAUUUAAAGGAUAAGGCCAAAAUUUGGCUUAAUUCUUUAAGGCCAAGGAGUAUCCGCUCUUGGACUGAUUUACAAGCUGAAUUCCUCAAGAAAUUUUUUCCUACUCAUAGAACAAAUGGCUUGAAAAGGCAAAUUUCAAACUUCUCAGCUAAAGAGAAUGAGAAAUUCUAUGAGUGUUGGGAAAGAUACAUGGAAGCUAUAAAUGCUUGUCCUCACCAUGGCUUUGAUACUUGGCUACUGGUGAGUUAUUUUUAUGAUGGUAUGUCCUCCUCAAUGAAGCAACUCCUCGAGAAAAUGUGUGGAGAAGAUUUCAUGAGCAAAAAUCCAGAGGAAGCUAUGGAUUUCUUGAGCUAUGUAGCUGAUGUUUCAAGGGGAUGGGAUGAACCAACUAAAGGAGAAGUGGGAAAGAUGAAGUCUCAGUUGAAUGCUUACAAUGCAAAGGCUGGGAUGUAUACUUUAAAAGAGGAUGAUGACAUGAAAGCAAAGUUGGCAGCUAUGACAAGAAGAUUGGAGGAGCUGGAGCUGAAAAGAAUGCAUGAAGUGCAAGCUGUUGCUGAAGCACCAGUGCAAGUGAAGUUGUGUCCCAAUUGUCAAUCGUUUGAACAUUUGGUAGAGGAAUGCCCUGCAAUUUCAGCUGAAAGGGAAAUGUAUAGAGAUCAAGCAAAUGUUGUUGGACAAUUCAGGCCCAAUAACAAUGCUCCUUAUGGAAAUACCUACAAUUCAAGUUGGAGGAAUCAUCCAAAUUUUUCAUGGAAGGCCAGAGCAACUCAAUACCAACAGCCGGAUCCACCAUCUCAACAAUCUUCAAGUAUUGAACAAAUAAUAGCUAAUCUCAGCAAGGUAGUGGGAGAUUUUGUGGGAAAGCAAGAAGCCACCAAUGCUCGAGUGGAUCAAAGAAUGGACAGAGUGGAUCAAAGAAUGGACAGAAUGGAGAGUAUGUUGAACAAAAGAAUGGAUGGAAUGCAAAAUGAUAUGAAUCAAAAAUUUGAUAACAUCCAAUAUUCAAUUUCAAGGCUUACAAAUUUGAAUACACUGCAAGAAAAGGGAAGAUUUCCUUCUCAACCUAACCAAAAUCCCAAAGGUGUCCAUGAAGUGGAAAGCCAUGAGGGAGAAUCAUCACAGGUGAAAGAUGUGAAAGCUUUGAUCACUCUAAGGAGUGGUAAGAAAAUUGAGCAGCCAACACCCAAGCCACAUGUUGAGAAAGAAGAAGAGAUGAAGAAAGGGAAGGAAAUGGAAGAUAAAGGCAGUGAGAUCAGUGAAGAAAAGAAGGACUCUGAUGCAACAAUGAAAGUAAUUCCAGAGAAGGAGCUUCUGAAGGAAGAAAUGCUGAAGAAAUCAACUUUUCCACCUUUUCCUCAAGCAUUACAGGGGAAAAAGGGGGUUAGAAAUGCAGCUGAAAUCCUAGAAGUAUUGAGGCAAGUGAAAGUUAAUAUUCCACUGCUGGAUAUGAUCAAACAAGUUCCAACGUAUGCAAAAUUCCUAAAGGACUUGUGUACUAUCAAAAGAGGGUUGACUGUAAACAAGAAAGCCUUCUUGACUGAGCAAGUAAGUGCAAUCUUACAGUGUAAGUCUCCUUUGAAGUACAAAGACCCUGGAAGUCCUACCAUUUCAGUCAUGAUUGGAGGAAAGGUAGUGGAGAAAGCCUUGCUAGACUUGGGAGCAAGUGUGAAUUUGCUUCCAUAUUCUGUCUACAAGCAACUGGGACUUGGAGAGUUGAAGCCAACAGCAAUCACUUUGUCUCUGGCAGAUAGAUCAGUGAAAAUUCCAAGAGGGGUAAUUGAGGAUGUAUUGGUUCAAGUAGAUAAUUUCUACUAUCCUGUAGAUUUUGUUGUUCUUGAUACAGAUCCUACUGUAAAGGAAGCUAAUUUAGUUCCUAUCAUCCUUGGAAGGCCAUUUCUUGCAACUUCAAAUGCAAUCAUCAACUGUAGAAAUGGGCUUAUGCAACUCACUUUUGGUAACAUGACACUGGAUCUAAAUAUUUUCUAUAUGUCUAAAAAGCAAAUCACUCCAGAAGAAGAAGAGGGUCCAGAAGAGCUAUGUAUUAUUGAUACUUUGGUGGAGGAGCACUGCAAUCAACAUAUGCAAGAUAAGUUGAAUGAAAGUUUUGUGGAUAUUGAGGAAGGUUUUUCUGAAUCUCCUAAUGGGCUUGCUACUCUACAAAGUUGGAGAAAGAUAGAAGGAAUUCUACCUUUGUUCAAUGAAGAAGAGGAGGCAGCUGUUGAAAAAGAAAUUCCAAAACUCAAUCUGAAGCCUUUACCUAUGGAGCUGAAAUAUACAUAUCUUGAAGAAAAUAAUCAAUGUCCUGUCGUAAUAUCUUCAUCUCAAACCAAGUCUCAAGUGAAGGAUGCAAGCUUCAAAUGGGAUCCGGGCAAACUGAAUCAGGAAGGGCAAAAAGUUUUGAUGUAUGACACAAGACUCCAUAUCUUUCCUGGGAAGCUCAAGUCAAGGUGGAUUGGUCCAUUUGUUAUUCACCGAGUAUAUUCCAAUGGAGUGGUGGACUUAUUGAAUUCCAAUGGCAAGGACAGCUUUAGAGUCAAUGGAUAUCGUCUUAAGCCGUUCAUGGAGUCAUUCAAAUCAGAAAAGGAGGCAAUCAACCUCCUUGAACCUCAAAAAGCCUAAGUGAAAUGGGUUUGCUGGACGUGGUUUUACCACAGUCCAAAAAUUUUUGUAAAUUUUGUAAAUUUUCAAGUUGUUUCCAUGCUUUUAAUCUUAGUUUUUGAUUUUAAAUCAUGUUUUUAGGUGUGUUUUAAUCGUUUUAUAUGAUCCCAGGCGGAAGAAAUUUCAAGGGGAUUGAAAAGAAAAAAAUCGGGUCGAAAUUGGAGCCGAAACAGAGCAAAAACAGGGGAAAAACAGAGCUCUGCGAAAUUUCGCAGGGUGAAGGAAACUUCUGCGAAAUUGGCAUUUUGCUGCCAAACCAUUCCGCAGCACUGUAGAAGCCUCUGCGAGUGUAUUUCGCAAUUGCGAAAGUGGAUUUGGCACACGAGUGCCACUUCGCAGCACAGUGACAUCAAUUUCGCAGCUGCGAAACUCACUGCGAAGUUGCUGCGAAAAUGGCAAGUUGCUGCGAAAUUGGCGUUUUGUUGCGAAACGUAAUCUGACCCCUGGGCUUCCGUUUUUCCUAUUUAUACCUGUCAAAAGUGCUGCGAAAAAGGUUUCAAAAAUUAGAGCACCAUUCUCGCAGCCCUUUCAUCUUCUUCGCCAAGCCACGCCGUCCGUUUCUCCGGUCGUCUUCUCCGUUUAGCAGCGCCGGCCAAAGAUCGAUAGCCCAAAAAUGGCACGAACGCGAGGGGCAAAGUCUUCAUCCCCUUCGAACCGCAAAAGGAGUCUGCGAAAGGAGCCAAGUUCAGGCUCUGUUCCAGAACCUGCUCCAAAGCCUUCGCCGUCGAGACCACAACCUUCUCCAGUGAAGCCGGCGCCACCAAAGCCGCCGGCAAGGCGAUAUUUAACCAGGUCAGGUGGUCAGCCAUUGAAGAAGAAAGCCAGAGUUGAGAGCUCUGAACCAAUCGAUUUGACUGAGCAAUCCCCUGAGAAAUCACCAAAUCCUUCACCGGUACAAAUUCCAGUGCCAUCACCGGUUCCCUCGCCAAUUCCCUCACCAGAAGCAACUCCAAUUCCAUCGCCGGUACCAUCUCCGGCACCCCAAGAAAAAGCUCAGGAGCCUCAAGCGCCAAUUCCAGAGCCCCAAAUUGCAGCUGAAGCACCUCUGGAAGAAGUGAUCCGAAGGCCAAUGCUGCCUCAGCCCCCAAUCGAAGGAAACCUGGAUUGCCGAACUCGGGCAUUCCAUUCUGAGCUUUGCUUCGAUUUAACAGCAUUCAGAGUGAGGCCAGAGCUUGCCCAAUCCUUCCAACUGCUGAGGAGAUAUCAUAUGGAGCAUCUGCUAGCUCCAAGGGAUUUUUUCUAUCCCCGGGUAGUCACGGAUUUCUACCAAACCAUGACAACCAAAGAAGUAAGAAAUCCAACUCUGAUUCAUUUCAUAAUUGAUGGAAGGCAUGGUAUUUUGGGAGCAAGACAUAUUGCUGAAGCCCUGCAAAUUCCUUUUGAGCCAACUCAAUUCGACAAUUUUAAAGCUUGGACAAAUCCUACUGAGUUAGAGAUGGUUAGCACACUAACCAGAGGAGCUGCAAAUCGAUCGCAUUUGUUGAGGGGGGAGCUACCUCCAGUUAUGUUUUUGAUUGAUGCCUUUUUGAGGCAUAAUAUCUAUCCCCUGCAGCAUUGGACCCAAAGAAGGGGAAUUCUCCUAGAAGCCUUGUACAAAAUGUCUGAAGGAUUCUUCUUUGGGCCUCAUCAUCUGAUCAUGGCAGCCCUUCUAUACUUUGAGGAGAAGGUUCACAAGAAGAAGCUUCAAAGAGCAGAUUGCAUUCCACUCCUCUUCCCAAGGCUGCUAUGCCAAGUUUUGGAGCAUCUCGGAUACCCCUCUGAGCCUCAGCAGGAAAGAAAGAGAAUAUGCCGUGAGCCUUUUACCCUUGAUAAAUGGAAUAAUAUGACGGCCUACAAAAUUGAUCAGCCUGGGCAGCCUCAGCCAGCAGCAAGGAGAGUCUCCCCAAGACAUAUACCUGAAGGUAUAACACUUGCUACUCCUGCCAUCCCUCGAGCUCCACCAGCUGCACCUGCUCCAUCACAGCCAUCCACAUCAGCUGAGCCGAGGAUGGCCAUCCCUAUAUCCGAAUAUCGAGAGCUGUGCCGUGCAUUGGAGACUCUUACAGCUUCUCAGAGCAAUCUUGCUCAGGAGUUGGCAGCCAUUAAAGCAUGCCAGGAGCAGAUGUUAGCCUCUCAGACUCAACAAGCUGCCAUCCUAAGGCAGCUUCAAGUCCAUUUCGAUCUGCCACAAGCUGUAGAGCCCUCUAUUCCUACUCCACCAGAGCCACACUCUCAGCCUUCAGAGUCUCAUCCUCCAGAACCCGAAGCACCAGCUGAUCCACCUACUGAGGAGGCAGAUCCUUCUGCCUAGCACCAUCACCCCCCUCAUCAGACAUUAUAUAUAUAUUUGCUGUUUAUGUUUUUAUGCAUGUUUGUUUUGUUUUAGUUGAAAAGAAAUCCCAGUAUUUUGGUACUAUAUAUGGGAUUCCUUGUGUUACUUGUCUUUAGUAUUGUAAUCACAUGAACUCAAAGUAAUACAAGUUGACUAUUUCUUGUUAAAAGUUAGCAUUAAAGUUUCCUUAUUUCCUUUUCUCACAUAUUCUAUUCUUUUUGAAACAUGUGGUUUUCCCCAAUCAAUAUUCGAAUUUGAUAUCAGCAUGGAGGUACCACUUCCUCCCUUUUAUUACAGUCACUCAAAUCACAUUGAGGACAAUGCUCAGUUCGGUUGGGGGGUAUGAGGAAGGAAGUAUUCUAAACCUUUUUGGUAUUGCAAUUAUAUUGGUUAAUUAGUUGUAGAUUUUACUUUUUACUAGUGUUACUCUAUUCUCCAUGAAUUUUGAGGAAAAAUUUUCAAAUUAAACCAAGAGAAAUUGAACUGUUGUUUUUCACUUGACUUAGAGUAUGGAUUAUGCUUACUAAAGUGGUUCAAUUGUUGAAACUUCUACUGAAAUUGAAUUGAGUUCUUCCACUUUAAGCUAUCCACACACUGUGCACAUUAGUUUCCGAUUAUAAGAUGAAAAGCUAUUUCCCUCUUGACUUAGUAUAUUUUUGGGACUUGGUAUAUUUGACCUCAUUUGAUAAAAAUUGAAACACCCUGCAAAAGGCCAAUGAGCCUUUGAAAUAAAGAAAGUUGUUUGCUUGCCUUGAAACCCGAGCAAGGUCUGAGGGGUAUAUGGUGAAAAUCUUUAAAGCCUGGUGCCCUAAGCCUUAAUUGGUUGGGAGUCACCGACCUCAAUGCUCGUUACAAGGGUGAAUAGGUAGAGUUAGCAUAUGGUAGAUGCUUGGGUAUUAGAAAUUCAUUCUUAAAAGUCCGGGGAAAAAUCCGAGGAGUUAGUGGUUGAAAGAUCCUUAAAACUUGGUGCCCUAAACCUUAAUUGGUUGGGAGUCAUCGAUGGACCCCCAUUACAUGGACAAGUCAGAAAGAGUACCCCAUAAAGCUACCUUAAAAAAAAAAAAAAAAAAAAAAAAAAAAAAAAAGAUGAAAGUGUGUUCUUUUCUUAUUGAUUUUGGUCAGUUUGCUAAAGUGUUGAAAAGAGAUAGGUUGGGGGGUGAGAUUAGUAGCAUAUUAUUCUCGGAACCUAAGGAACCAAUACACAUAGAUUUUUGUGGAAGAUUGAAGUUUAGUUCUUAGAAAAUGAAAUGAUUUUAAAACUUCAGUUUGCAUAAUGCACUCCCUUGAUUGACAGUGUUUAGCAUAGGUGUUAUGACUCUUGUUGAGAUUUGGGUUUGUAUUUCUUUAAUGAUUCAUGUGAGAAAUAGAUCAUCAUGCCACUUGAGAAUUAUUUUCCUUUUAGCAUGAUGUUGUAAAUUUUAGAUUAGUUUGCUAUUUAUUUUUUAUUUUCUCUCCUAUAUUGCUAAGGGACUAGCAAUAUGUCGGUUGGGGGGAGUGAUUACUACUCAAAAAGUGCUAUUUGAUAGCCUUUAAUUAAUCCUUUUUAACACUUUUGAGUAGUAGUUUAGGCCUUUUAACUCAAUUGGCAUGUUAAGGAUCCUUUAAAGCAAUUUUGAUCACUUUGUGCAAGUUUUGGUGUUUUUGUUAGUAUUUUGAUCACCAAAGCAAGUCAAGAAUGAGGAGAACUAUGAGGAAUCAUGGGCAAAGCUUAGAAUUCAAUUGCCAAGAGUGAAUCCGGAUUGCAAGGAGAAAAAGCAAAGAGAAUCUGUCAUGAAGCCUAUUCUUGAUGACAGUCGUAGCAGCCACUUUUGGAGCACUUUCUGAAGUCCAAAUGAUGCAAGCUAUAUACCAUUUCAAAGCUCAGGAAGUCAACAAUCCAAUGCUUCAAACGGUGCGCGAUUCGGAGUUGAAACGAAGAAGUUGCAGCCAUUACAAGCCAGUCACUCUAAAGUGUUGCGGAAUCAGCCUUUUGUUGCGAGAAUUUCGCAGCACUUUUGUACAGUAAGGUGUUUCUCCUUCUGACGAUGCACGAACCAUGCCGCGAGAGGGAAGCUAGGAACUUCAAGAUGGAAGCCAACUUUGCAGCCUGGUGAAGAUAGCUUGGUCUUGCGAAAUAAUUUCGCAGCCCUCUUGGGUGUCUGCGAAAUUUCGCAGGCACCACUUUUUUCCUGCGAAAUGGCUCCGGAAGCCUCCCGAAGCUUGCUACCGACAUUGGGAGAUAUUUUCCAUUAGAUUUUUGUUGUCUAAAUUCCAAAAUACUCCUUGUAAACCACCAAUUACAUGAUUCCUUAGUUUUUAAGUUAGUAAAAAGACCAAAUAUCUAUGUAAUAAUUAGUUUUAUAUUAGUUUGCUAUAAAUACCUCUCGGGAGCAUGUUCUCAGAGAGGAGUUCCUUCUGUAACCAUUUUGGUAAGCAAGUAAAGUCUUUUCUUUCUACUGCCUUACCUUCUCACUUUGUAUUUUCAUUUUAUUUCUAAGUUAUGAAUUCUCUGAGGAGCUUUCCCCAGAGAAUGAGUAACUAAACCUCCAAUUCCUUGGAGCUAAGGUUGCCGGGGAAGGUUCCAAGUGCAAGAAUGCAAAGCUCUGUGGUUUUAGCUAGUAAUGAAGAGGAAGUGAAAUCCUUUAGUGAUUUCAAUGUUUUUAGUUAACUUAAAACACCUUGGAGUCACCUGGGCCAACACUUGGUAAGGCAAGUGAUUUCCAACCGUGGAAAUGCACUAGUUUACCCCUUGCGAGCCUCUGGUAGGUGACUUCAAGGUAGGAUUUUCUGGAAUUACCAACACUUGGUAAGCUUUUGGACUCCUAGGAGACAUCCAUUAGUUAUCUCUUGCGAGUUUGUGAAGGGGAAUCCAAGGUUAAAGAUCACCUUGAAUGGUAAGUGCUCGUGAGAGGCAUGAACCAUUGCAAGUUGUAUCAGUGAGAGAAUUAAAGUGAAAUCUAAUUGAAGGAGUCUCUGUACAUCACCGGUUAGAGAAUUGACUAUAAGUUGAAUCUCUAAUGCGAGGAAAUGAACCAUCUGACCGGAGCUAUGUCUUUUGCAUGAGGAACCACCCCAGUGAACCUAAAUCUCCAAGGAAUGCUUUUCUUCCUAAAUUAUUCCAAACUUCUGUUAAGUUAGUUAGUUUAAGUCUAAACCUUUACCAAUCAAACUUUGUGUUUUAUUCCUUAAGCUAACCGUGAAAUGAAACAAAACCAAUUCACUUGGAAUUGGUAUCCUUGAUUGCUUGCAAAUCAUUCCCAGUGAACGAUCCUUAGAGCCACUAUACUAUAGUAGCUUUGUAUUUGCUACCCUAGUGUAUGGUGUUAUAGGUAUAAAUUUUGUUGAUCACUUCCUCAAUCAAGGAACACCAGCUGAACACAAAUCAGCUGAGACACCAAUUGGGCAUGAGUCAGUGCGUUAGAGGAUCAAGAAGAAGAAAAAGAAGGAACUGUUGGAAUUAGUAUGAGUGUGAAGAGAAAAGUAUAUAAAUAAGGGGAAGUAAAAGCAAAGUUCAAAAAGCUAUAUUUUUUUAUUGUUGGUGUAUGGUUGCAUGAUUAUCCCUAUAAAUAAUAGGAGUUUUUUGGUAUUCUACUAGUAGUUGAAGCAUAAUUUCAUAAAUUAAUAUUUAGAGCGGGGUGGGGUGAGUUGUGACAAAAUUCAUACCCGUCCCAAACCUUGGUUCAGAUUUUUAAAAUAUUCUCAAACUUAUCAUAUACCCAACUUUUAUAUUUCAUACUUGUCCUAAUAGAGGCACGUUAGGCCGGGUUACUUGAGUAACCUACAUAAUUGUCAUCCCUAGUUGAAAUACACUUUUUGGCAGUGGCCACCAACUGAGCUAGAAGCUUGAUUGAUUGACCUACAAGAUUAGUUCUCAUCAUUUUAAAAAAAGUUCUGGCUUUGGUUGUGAGUGCAAUUGAAUCUAAACUGGCAUUUGCUUAAUGCAUCUACUUCAAUCCUAAACUUCUUACUUCUUAAGCCUCAAUUGUUGUUAGGAUUUUGGAAAACCCAUUUCCUUAAAUUGUAAAUUUAAGAUAAAAUAAAAUAAAAGUGAGACAUUUCUUGAUUGAAUAUUGUUAAAGGUCCCUUGGCAUUAAGACUUGGUUGAAGCCUUGGAAGAUUAGUGGAACUCUCAACAUGUGUUUGAAUCUUGAGGAGAGUGGAUGUAAGCCAAAAUUUUGUCAAACCAUUAUACAAAUUGAGUUUGAAUCCUCAUUUCUUGAUUUCUUAUUUAUUUGCUUUUUCUUAUUAUUACUUGAAUUGUCAUUUGCAUUCAUUAAUGUUAAAAUUGGUUAUAAUUAACCAACACUAAUUCUCUUUCCCCUUCCCUUUCUUGGGUGUAAACCUAGGUUGGAUUAACUAGAUAAAUCUAUUAAGAUGGUAAAAGAAUAAUUAUUCUUAACAUACAUAAGAUCAUCUUCAAUCAAAUGACUCAUUGGCUAAUAUGUUGAAUUUGCUUAUUACUUGCAACUCAAAAUUGUGUUCUAGUUGUGUCAAGUCCCCAGUGUAUGGACAUUAAAUUUGUAGUACGUGAUGAGUAAUUAGAUGGUCCAACUCCAAGAAAGUGAUUGAAAAGUAGUUCAAGAAAGGUGCAAAAGGGAAUUGUUUUGGUAUUUUCGUUUUUAUUCUUGAAGGUGGCAGAGCUAAAAUUUGAGAAAUCAAGCAAAACAUACUGAAAUUACAUUGAAAGAAAGAAGAUGGGAGUUAAUGUCUUGCAGUACAUGAUAAGGACUUCAUGCAUGUAGUGUGACCCAUGUCUUGGACUGAUGCCAACUCACGGUUACACUUAUACCCUUGGUUCUCUCUUUACUACCUUGGCUAACCUAGAUCAGGCUAUGAGAUAGGCUCCUCACCACACCAUUACUUGCCCAUUAAUUAGAGACAUUUUCAAGCAAUGAGGUAACAUGGUGACACCAAGAGGGUCUAUUCCUCGCCCGGAACAAGUCUAGACUUGGUCUCAAAAAAAUGGAGAAAAAUGAGGUGUCGUUAUGUAGAAAUACAACAACCAUGCCUUCCUCAUUACUUAGAUUCAGAAUGUGAAGGUGAAAUUGAGAAACAGAAACUCUUGAAACCAAAAUGAAAAUUGAUACUUUUACGAAGAAUUACAACAACAUUAGAGGAAGACUACAUUCUUCCUCUUUAUUCCUACAUUUCUACACUACUUCUACUCCACUCCAUAUUUCUACAUACAUCUUUAAUCAGUCUUCCCUCCUUUAUAUAGAGCCAUCUUCACACAAAUUUCGCAAGGUAGAAAAGAGGAAUGAAACUUGGAGCAAGGUUCGACUACUGGUUGUAGCUUGUCAAGGCUGGAAGUGAACUUUUCUUGGCUUUCUGGGCAUGGGUAGUAACUUGUGGGUUCCUGUUUGGCAUAAAAAUGGCUAGAACAUGUGGCACUAUCUUGUUGGAUGAUGUGUCAAGCAUGUGGCAGCCAUCUAGUGGCGAUUAUGUCAAUUUUGGGAUGGAGAGUUGGCAUCCAAUUGCAAAGAAAUAUGACGUCUACCAACAUGCAAUGUAAACCUAUGUAGAUCAUAUGAAGAUAGAGAGGAAAAAUAUAGAAAUGGAUAUAUACCUAGAACUAGCUUUUUAUUAAAUGAAACGGAGAGACAACAAUGAAGGAAAAUAAAAUUUUUUGGCUUAUAUCAAAGAGUUCACAUUGUGUUACCCUAGGUUUUCUUAAAACUUACUUUUAUGAUAACAAAAAAGAAAAAACCAUUAUUGUUUAAUCCUUUGUUUUAAACGCAUGUAAGGUGUAAUUAAGUUAGUUCAAUGCAUUAAUUUAAGAAACUUGACCUAUCAAAAGUACAAAAUUAGAUGAAAUCCAUUUCAAUGGUUAAAAUGAUCAAAAUCAAACUUUUUCUAAGUAUUUUUUAAAAGCAUCAAUAGUGAAAGACAAUUUUAUAUUUAGUCGGAGUUUGGACAAAACUGAAAAACACACAAAAUCCAAGCGACCAUCUCUAGCUUGGAUGGUCGCUUGAUCCCACCUAGAGAUGUGCAUGAGUAAAAGGAUUUGAAAAUGGAAAUUGACUAUGUAGUCGAUCAAUUAACUUUGCAACAUCAUAUGCAAUCCUAAUUGCUAGUCAUCUAAUCAAUUAGGUAGUCAAUCAACAGGCCAAAAAUAUGUUUAUAAUGACUAUUUUGUACAAAAACCACCUGUAUAGUUAAAUAUAAUGCAUUUCAUUUAUAAAUCUUCUAAUUCUUGAAUAACGAUCCUAUCAUCCUUUGAAAGUUUUUAUUACACUUUUUUUACUUUUGUUCUAAAACUUACACAUCACCCUUAAUUGUACCAUGAGAACCUAGCUAUUUUUUAUUUUUUUUUUUGUAAUUCAUCAAAGUUAGCUUUUGUAUUCAUUGUUGUAUUAUUUUUAGUAUAACUUAGAAAGCUAGUGUUUUCAAGUGAGUAAAAUUAACUUGUAAAUAUUGUAAAGAUUCAUCGACAUGUAUCUUAAACUAAGUGUACAAGUUAAAACAUUUGCUAGUAGAUUUUCUCAAAAUUUAGAAUAGAGCUUGAGACUAUUGAAAUAGGUGGGGUUGCACCAAACCACAUCACAUCGUUGUUUGCACCUUUUUUCACUCUCUUUUACUUAGUUGCUCUAUAUUUGUUGUCUAGUAAUAUCCUAUAGGCUUGAUGGGUUAGGGAGCAUCCCUUUGUGAAAAAAUUUUAUUCAAUCCUUAGUUGUAUCACGCAUAUAUAAAAUGCCUCAUUGUUUUAAUGGUAUUCAGUCGUGGCAUCACAGAUAUGGGCAUCUAAAUUUUAAAAGUUUGAAACUUUUAUCUAAAGAAAAUAUGGUGCUUUGCCUUUUUGUAAAGCAUGUUGAUGAAAUCCAUGAGAAUUGUGUACUUGGGAAGCAACACCGAGAUGACUUUUUUUUUUUUUUUAUAAUAUUGUUUGUCCAAAUUCCCUACAAAUUAGGCCACCAGAUGUUCAUAAUUCUCCCUUCUUGAAUUUGAAAACUCGGACAAUUGGACAAUGCGACACCUAAGUCCGGUUUCUAAAUGCUAAAGUGAAAGGGUAGGUAUGGACCAUUGAAAUGUGAUCACAACUUUUCUCUGUAGCCAUGUUGUCUCUUUUUUCUUUUGCAUGAUUUUCUUACCUUAACAGAAUCAUAGACUUGUUUAGUCUCUAAAUGGGAUUAAUUUCAUCCAGCUUUAAGCUACUAUAUUAUAUCUAGGUGGAGGACUUUUAAGAGUGCAACCGACAUAGAGCACAUGGAAGUGGGUAUAUGGGACAUGAAAUUUCUUCUUAUAAAGAUUGCAUGAUUUUUAUAUUAGAGUUGUUGAGGCGCUAUGUAUUUAGCUUGUUUUGCAGUUAAAUUAAUUGGAUAAGUAGACAUUGGCGUUUCUAAAUCUACUGUGAAGUGCUUCAUGUACGUGUGAAGUAUUAGAAAUUUCUUUCUUGGCAACUUGUUUUUCUUUGCGGUCUACUGAUAGGUUUGACUAAAAUUAUAUUCCCUGUCAUGCUAAUUAAUUUUCACGUGCAUGCUCAAAAGAAAAGUAUGACCUUAGUGCACCAAAAUCACUUUGAUUAAUUUGUGAUAGGUUUUUGUGCAUCAUGACAUUAGCCUUAUUCAUUUAGAUAAUGUUUAGUUUUUAGAAAGUAUUAAGAAAAGGAAAAUAAAUAUUAAGAAAAAUAUUCUUAUAUUUGAUUGUAUUAUGAAAAAUAUCAUAAAAAAAUCAAAUAUAAUUUAAAUUAAUUAAUAAUUUAUACAUUUUCAAAUUAUUUAAUCUUUAUAUUGAAGAUAUAAUAUAAAUGAAAUGAGUUUUAAGUAUUAUAUAAAAGUGAUUUAUUGAUCUUACAUAUAUAUAUUUCUUUUUUUUUUCCUUCUAUUUUUUCUCUUUAUUUUAUUUUCCUUAUGUUUUCCUCAACAUUUUCCGGAACCAAACAUAGCCUUAGGAAAUCCACAAUUACCUUCAACUGAGUAGAUUCUGUUGUUUUAGCAAUGUUAGGCUGCUAACUUGUGUUGGUACGAACCUAUUAAGCCUAAAGAUGUAAUUAGUUAGGAUAUUCUUUUCCCUCUAGUCUUGUAGCUCCACGUGUACAGUUGGUUAGGACCUCAUUGUAUAUAAUGCUUGCCCUGUUAUUGUAGAAGACAACAAAGAUAAAUAAUAUUAACAUUUUUCCUCUCAUCUCUCUCUGUUUCCCUCUGUUUUCAUCUCCUCUCUCAUCUUGGUAUCAGAGCCUCCAUGGCUUCUUUCAAAGAAACCUCCGAAUCACCUUCUGCUAGCAUUGUUAAUGUGCAAAACCCAUUAUCUCAAUCAAACAACCUUCCUUCACCAGUAGCCACACCCUCUUUUUCUUUCUCGUCUAUGAAUCAACCUCUCACAGUGAAGCUGGAUAAUGGGAACUACCUCAUAUGGAAGAAUUAGCUUCUAAAUGUCAUCAUUGCUAACGGACUCGAUGAUUUCAUUGACGGAUCUCGACCCUGCCCUCCUCGAUUUCUCGAUCUGCAACAACAAACCCUCAAUCCAGAGUACUCAGCUUGGCAGAGAUACAAUCGACUUCUGAUGAGUUGGCUGUACGCAUCCUUGUCCAAAGAUAUAAUGGCUCAGAUUGUUGGGUAUUCAACAGCUAUGGAGAUUUGGAAUGCCCUUAAUCAGAUUUACUCUGCCUCUUCUAUGGCGCGGUUUACUGAGCUUCGCACCAAGCUUCAAACGCUCAAGAAAGAUGGACUCUCAGUUGGUGAAUAUAUUCAAAGGCUCAAAUCCAUUUGCAAUAGUCUUGCAGCAAUAGGAGAACCAGUUUCUGAGAAAGACCAUCUUAUCUAUUUGUUCAAUGGAUUAGAUUGUGAGUAUUAUUCUUUUGUUACCUCCAUUCAAAAUCGAUCUGACCAACCAACUAUUGACAAAAUCCAUAGCCUAUUGCUUAGCUAUGACUUCCGGCUUGAACAACAAAACUCUGUUUCUCUCCAUUCUGCCCAAGUCCAUAUGGCUCAUCUGAACAAGAAACCUUAUAAAUCAACUCCUCAACCUACAUUCAAUCAUAUUCACAUUCAACCUAGAUACUCUUCUCCACCUUUUAAGCCAACCACUAGUCAAUAUCAACCCAACAUUUUGGGCAAACCACAACCACAACCAUGACAGCCUCAACCUCAAUGGAAACCACAUUUUUCAAUCUAAAAUCAAAAGCCUCAGCGCCAAAUUUGUGGUAAAUUUGGACACACUGCUCUUAUUUGCUUCCAUCACACAAAUUUGAACUAUUCACCCCAACCUUCUCCUAAAUCUUUCAAUACUGUUCUCACCACAAAUUCCCAGCUCCCUAAUCCUCCAAAAUUUUCUUACCCUACAAUGGCUCAUCCUGCUGCUACGCAUAACACGGUUCCCGAUACAAAUUGGUACAUGGACUCAGGUGCUACACAUCACUUUACUCUGGACAUCAACGUGCUUGACACUGUGACACCAUUUAGUGGUUCAGAACAGGUGACAGUUGGGAAUGGUAAGCAACUCUGUAUCUCACAUCUUGGUACUGCAAAACUACCAUCUUCGUAUUCUCCUCCUGUUCUACAUCAGGUAUAUCACACUCCAAAAAUUUCAAAUAAUCUUAUUAGUGUUAAAAAAUUGUGUUCUGAUAAUAAAGUUUUUGUUGAAUUUUAUGCCACUCAUUUUCUUGUCAAGGAUCAGGUUUCGAAGAGAGUUCUCCUUUAGGGUCAACUUGAUAAUGGCUUAUACAAAGUUCAGUCGUCAUGCUCUCCUUCUGCUGUUUCCUUUCCUCCUCAAGUUUUCAUAGCCAACAUCAAGUAUCCAAAUCUGUGGCACAAGAGACUAGGCCACCCAGCUUUAUCUGUUGUUAAUCAAAUCUUGGAUUCUUGUAACAUUGCUCGAACACAGAAAAUUUGUUUUAAUUUUUUAAAUUCUUGUCAAUUAGCAAAGAGCCACAGGCUUCCUUUUUCUCUGUCUCCAUCCAUUGCAGAAAAACCUUUUGAGUUAAUUCAUACAGACCUAUGGGGUCUUUCGCUCGUUCGCUCUAUUUCUGGUGCUCUUUAUUUUUUACUUUUCAUUGAUGAUCAUACUCGUUUUACUUGGUUUUAUUUGCUCAAAACAAAAGAUGAAGCAUAUCCUACUUUUCUCAAGUUUCAAGCUCUCAUUGAAAAUCAAUUUAAUACCAAGAUUAAGGCUGUCCAAUCUGAUUGGGGAGGUGAGUUUCGAUCUCUCUCCAUACCGUUUUCAAAUAUGGGCAUUGUCUAUUGUUUAUCGUGUCCAUACACCUCACAACAGAAUGGGCGAGUUGAGCGAAAAAAUCGCCAUGCGAUUGUCCUUUCUUGCUUGCUCUAUGCCCUUAUCUUAUUGGCCUUAUGCCUUUCAAACUGCCACUUACCUUAUUAAUCGUCUCUCUACCCCUGUGCUGCAUCAUCAAUCCUCUUACUUCGCACUCUAUCACAAACUCCCAACUUAUACUCAUCUUAAGGUCUUUGGUUCCUCUUGUUUUCCGUAUUUGCACCCUUAUAAUACCCAUAAACUCCAAUACAGGUCACUAGAGUGUGCUUUUCUUGGUUACAGUUCACACCACAAAGGUUAUCUAUGUCUUGACAUUCAUUCUAGCAGGGUGUAUAUUUCUCGCCAUGUGAUUUUUAAUGAAGAUUCUUUUCCAUUCAAGAAUUUGAAAUCUUCUCUCUCUCAGUCUAUUUCUUCUUCCUCUUCUUUAUAAGUUCCUCUGUUCAUUCUCUUGCCUCCCCUUUCCCCAUCUCCUCUUAUUUCUUCAUCUAUACCUCAUUCUUUUCCCUCUUCUUCUUCUACCUCUAGUACUUGUUCCCCUCUCGUUGCUCCUACCUCUCUUCCUUCCUCUUCACACUCUGUGUCUCCAUCUAUUCCACCUCCUUCUCCACCUUCUCCGAGUGUGGACCUGCUUGCACCUUGUGUGAAUACAAAUUUACAUACUUCUUCUCGCACUCACAAUAUUCAUCCUAUGGUGACUAGAUCUAAGGUUUGUAUCUAUAAACCUAAGUUGUUGUUGAGUGUCUCCAUAGGUUCUCUCACUAAGCCUACUUCCUUUCUUCAAGCUAUUAAAGAUCCUUCAUGGAAGCAAUCCAUGGAAUUCGAGUUUGCUACCCUUCAACACAACAAGACCUGGCAUUUGGUUCCUUCACCUUCCUCAGGCGAAGUAAUCGGUUGUAAAUGGGUCUAUAAGCUAAAGCUUCAGCCUGAUGGCUAAAUUGAGAGAUACAGCCUGCUUAGUAGCUAAGGGUAUCAUCAAAUUGAAGUAUGGACUACUUCGAAACAUUCAGCCUGAUNNNNNNNNNNNNNNNNNNNNNNNNNNNNNNNNNNNNNNNNNNNNNNNNNNNNNNNNNNNNNNNNNNNNNNNNNNNNNNNNNNNNNNNNNNNNNNNNNNNNAGCUUCAGCCUGAUGGCUAAAUUGAGAGAUACAAGGCCUGCUUAGUAGCUAAGGGUUAUCAUCAAAUUGAAGGUAUUGACUACUUCGAAACAUUCAGCCUGAUUGUCAAGCUUUCUACUAUCUGUAUUGUGCUCAGUCUUACUUUUUCCCAGAAUUGGUGUAUUAGACAGCUGGAUGUUCAUAAUGCCUUCUUACAUGGUGACUUAGCUAAAGACGUUUUCAUGGAACAACUGCCUGGAUUUGUUGAUCCUCUCUAUCCUACUCAUGUCUGCAAGUUGGAUAAGUCUCUCUACUGUCUUAAAUAGUCACCUCGGGCUUGGUAUACUAAGCUGAGUACUUCUCGCUACACUUGGGAUUUGUUACUUCUAAGAAUGACUCUUCCUUAUUUAUUUGUCAUUCGUCUCAUGGGUUACUUCUUGUUCUUGUCUAUGUGGAUGAUAUAAUCGUCAUUGGGAGCCACUCUCCUCAGGUUACUCACCUUAUCCAACAGUUGCAUCAUUAGCUUUCUUUAAAGGAUCUUGGUCCUUUACAUUAUUUUCUGGGCUUGGAGGUUCAUCACACCCCUACUGGUAUUCACCUCAGCCAAGCAAAGUAUAUCACUGAUCUCCUUACCCGGGCGGCUAUGUUGGAUGCCAAGCCAUGUCCCACUCCUAUGUCCUCCAACACAUAUCUCUCUUUUCAUGAUGGAGUGGCUCUUGAAAAUGGUUCAGAUUAUCGAAGUUUUGUUGGUGCCCUUUAGUAUUGUACCAUGACACGCCCAGAUAUAGCUUUUGCAAUAAAUAAAGUGUGUCAAUUCAUGCACCAUCCCUCUAAUGUUCACUGGCAGGCUAUAAAACGUAUUCUCCGGUACUUAAAGGGCACAUCUCAUUUUGGUCUCUUCCUACAGCCUUCCUAUGACUUCAACAUCACUUGCUAUACAAAUGCCGACUGGGCUUCCUGUCCUGAUGACAAGUGUAGCACCAGUGGCUACUGCCUCUUUCUUGCCUCUAAUCUGGUUUCUUGGUCAUCUUCCAAACAAAAAGUGGUCUCCCGCUCCAGCGCCGAAUCAGAGUACCGAGGGGUAGCAAAUGGGGCUGCUGAAAUUGCUUGGACUGAAUCUCUUCUUUGUGAACUUUCCAUUACUCCCCCUCCCCUCAUUCUCUGUGACAAUAUCAGUGCCACGUACUUAGCUGCCAAUCCUAUUUUGCAUGCCCGCACCAAACAUGUGGAAAUCGACUAUCACUUUGUCACGGAACGUGUUCUUCAAUGCUCUCUUUUUGUCCAGUUUACACCUUCUGAUGAUCAACUUGCUGAUUGCAUGACCAAGCCUCUCUCCACCCAACGUUUCAUCACUCUACGCUCCAAGCUCACUGUUCUCACUAGACCAAUGAGCUUGAGGGGGGAUGUUAAGCCUAAAGAUGUAAUUAGUUAGGAUAUUCUUUUCCCUCUAGUCUUGUAGCUCCACGUGUACAGUUGGUUAGGACCUCAUUGUAUAUAAUGCCUGCCCUGUUAUUGUAGAAGACAACAGAGAUAAAUAAUAUUAACAUUUUUCCUCUCAUCUCUCUCUCUGUUUCCCUCUGUUUUCAUCUCCUCUCUCAUCUGAACCAAAUGAUCCAUGUUAACCUUGGCUUGGUUUGAUUUGGCUCUAUCUUAGAGAGCUCAAGGAUCACGUCAACUCUGGUUUCUACUAUUCAGGUCCAUUCCCAUAUGAACUGGUUCAAAUUUGAGAAAAUGGUAACAGACCUUUAGUGAUGUUGGUUUGGAGCCAGUUGCCAAACCCGCCCUGAGCUUUACCACUAAUGUCAAGGGAGAAAGCCAUUUGAACAAAAACAAUAGCUUCAAGGGACUGAAUCGUGGAUGAAAUCUGAUCCACAUUUCUUCUCAUUUUGGAAACAAAUGAGAACUUAACUAAGAAGAUUCUACGGCCUCAUAGUGCUUUUCCUGAUCUAAGGUUGGUUCGUUUCCCAAACUGUGAGAUGCACGUGCCAGACUUCAGAACUCUCACGCUCAGGAGUGUAUCCACGUGGUGGACAUAAGAUGGUGGCUUAAGAUCUGGUGUCGGUGGCUUUACUUUACUAGGAGAGUAGUGUGUCUUCAUCUCAUUCACUGCCGGAGGGUGGCGUAAGCAGUGACGCUAAGGUGGGGCACAGUCAAUAUCAUUUGCAUUUGACCAUUAUAGUUUUCUCCCGGCUUUAAAGUAACCUUAUCGUGAUAAAGGAUUACUAGCACUAGUUCAGAUGAUAGUCAUGUUAAAUUCGGACCAUGUUUGUGUCACAUUAUCAGCAACCAUGUGUUUAUGGUUCAUGCUUUCUGCAACUAAAAUUGAUAUAUAACCAGGUGAACUUCAAUCUAAAUUCUGAAAGUACUCAUGUGAUAGAUGGUGCCCGUCUGCAGAGUCCAUCAAUUGAAAAAUGGAGUGAGUGUAUCUAUAAGAGGGAAGGCUUGGAAAAUGUUCAGUUUUCUGGGAAUUCAACAAGGAUCUAAAAUAGAUUGUUUUCUUUGCUGAUUUCAAUGGUUGAAAUUUGAGAAGAUUGUGUCCACAUAACACAACUAUUACUGGUCCUUCUGUUGCAAUUUAUCCUCUAAAGCUCUAGCAUGUCUUCCAAUUCCCACUUCCCUGUUACUCCAGGAAAGCUAUUUCUGUCAUUGUGAAGAAGAAAAGAGAAUGUACAUAUCGAUGCUUUUAAGUGACUGGAGCAUUUAUAUCAGGUGGUCUGCAGCCAUAUAUGCCACUUUGUGAAGAUUGGAACAGUCAAUCACUAGGCUAUAUAUUAGUGUGGCCCAGCCACUUUAAUCAAGGACAAGUCUUCAUACUUAAAGUCAAAUUCUGCCUUUAGUCUCAUUAUAAAUUUCUGUUUAAAUAUUAAGCAAACAUUUGUUUAAUGCGAUUAAGACAGUACUAACUCAAUACCUGUUCUAUUUUUGGAUGCAAAUGCUUGAUGGUUUCAUCAUUGGAUGGGAUAAAGGUGCAUUCAUGAUUAGGAAUACUAGUAGUUAUAUUUUAAUUCUCUUUUUUCUCAAUGAGACUUGUUGGCACAAUUUUGCUGUUGAGAAACCUACCUCUCCAUGGAAAAUAAGUUGUGAUUGAUAGUACUGGAUAUAUUCAAGAAAUCUAAAUAUAGAUAGCACAAAAUAUUAUCGACAUAAAUAGCAUUAACAGCGUACGUAUGUCUCAGUGCUCAUCAGCUAUAAGCAUGGGGCAAACACUUACUAUGAGCAACUUACGUCAAAAUUCCAGAAUAGGACAUAGAAGUGACAGAUAUAGAACAUUGCAUAUGAGUCACAAGAAAGGAAAUUACGGGUGCAUAGCAGCUCUUAUUUUACAUACUACUACUCAUACUGAUCAAAGUCACUCAGUUGGGAUGGGUGGGAGUAGGAGGUUUGUGGGGUGGCUUGUGCGGAGGAGUUGGCAGCUUCUUUCCAGGACCUGGUUGCUUCUCUGCUGGAGUUGAAGGAGGCUUAAUCUUCCGAGGUGGCUUGUAUGAGUCUUCAGCAUUCUCAGCUGGAGGGUGACCAGGGUUGUGACCAUAAUGUGGUGGCUUCUCUCCCUUAGGUGGUUUGCCAACUGGGGUUGGUGGCUUGUAUGAGUCUUCAGCAUUCUCAGCAGGAGGGUGACCAGGGUUGUGACCAUAAUGUGGUGGCUUCUCUCCCUUAGGUGGUUUGCCAACUGGGGUUGGUGGCUUGUGUUCUGGGAGUGGCUUCUCCCCCUUGGGAGGUUUUUCCAAUGGGGUUGGUUUGUGUUCAGGAGGUGGCUUCUCCACUGGAGGCUUGUGUUCAGGAGGUGGCUUCUCCACCGGAGGCUUGUGUUCAGGUGGUGGCUUCUCCACCGGAGGCUUAUGCUCUGGUGGUGGCUUCUCGAAUGGGGGAUGCUUAGGAUAAUCAGCAAGUGAGGGGGCGGUGAGAACCACCAGGCCAAGCAACACCACUAGCAAAUAUGUAGGAGACAUCUUUGGGUUUGGGCUCAGAUGGUGCAAAACUAGGAGAAUUGGCUAGCCUUUUAUAGCGGAUCGUACCCAAUAAUGAAAUGACACGUGUCAUUAUGACCCAUGUGUAAUGGGGUCGAUUUGGGUCCUACAGUGUUGAAAACUUCGACAUCCACUUUUGGCCUUUUGCUUUCUCUACAGCCGCCUUGCUUUUUCCCUCUUUCCUUUUGUUUUCCUCCUGCCCCAUUCUAUCAACUAAACACAAUUAUGUAGUUGUUUAAUUCUUAAAUGAGAUAUUAUCCGUCAAUCGUAUUAUAUUUUAUCAAGAGAGAACGGAGUGCAAUGUGGCUGUAAUUUUAUCGUUUAGUUUUAUCUCUUGGACCACUGCAUUUUUGUUAAGAGGUGCAAUAAUACACGUCUUUAUCUGCCAUUCAAUAUUUACAGUAAAGAGAGGGCACAAAACUCUUCACUUCGCACCAUAAUUAUUUUGUUUUCUGGACACCCCGGGGCCCUUUGGUUGGUUUGGGGGUCAGAAAGUGAACAUCAUAGGGGGUUUUUCCCUUAUGUGCAUUUGUAUCUGAUGGCUUUAACUCGCCUUGUUACUACAAAGAAACUGUCACAGAUAGGAACUUAUUCCAGGCUGAGUAUCUCCUCAUAGACCCUAUAAAAGAAGACAAGUCAUAAUGAACAUCUAACCUUUGUUCAAUUUGAUUCAAUGCCCCCAUUGUGUCCAUCUCACAAAUCUGAAUUAUUAUAUCCAUUGAAUACAUAAAUUAAUGAAGAAAAUAUGAAACCCAAGAUACAUCUCUGCACAACCUCAACCCUGGUUGCUAUGUUUCCCUUCUAUUCACAUGAUUUGAUGCUAAUUGCCAAACUUGCAACAAGCCCUGAGUUUGACACCUAGUAUCGAUGGGCGAAUUUAAAGUCUCCUCCAAACAUAUAUUCCACAGCUUGAAGCUCACAGAAGAUGUUACAGGCAGGGAAAAACCUUCAGAGUUCGCUACCAAAGAUAAUUAUUAAGGAGAUAUCACAAAGAGAAUUCCAAGGGGUCUGAAUCAAAGACAAAUUGGUCGUUCGUGGGGGUUCUUACUUUCUUUUGGGUAUAACUCACUGAGGGCACUGUCUUUGUUAUUUGCAUUUCACAUUUAGAGUUCUGUUCUGGAAACAUAUAAAAGGAGCAUCAUUUUGUUCUUGGGUAACCCAUAGUCGUGAGUGGGUCCAUUUGCAUGCUACUUAGUUGAAAAGUUGGACCAUUUGCUCCGACGCCUACCUCCCGGAUUCCAUGCUCGGAUAAAACAAGAAUAAAAAAAAUAUUUAUAAUUUACAAAUGGGGGAAAGAAAAAAAUGUCAACAACAAACCAGGAAAAAAGAGUAGUAAAAUUCAUGUCACAUGCUAGUGAGAGAAGGGGUUGUUACACUCACUCGAAGUUCUUUCCAAAAUAUCGCAUGGUAUUUUAUUUUAUGUGUCAGCGCAGUUGUGAAUGGAACGUGCAAAAGUCCAAAUUGGCGUUUUUCCUUUUCCCGUGUAGGAUGGCGACCUUUAAUAAAUAUUUAAAACAAAAAACGAAAAAAAGGAGGGAAAAGGGAUCAGAAAAGAUAAAACAAUGUGUACAAGAGCUCAAUUAGUUUGCAAAUUACUGUUUGGAUUUUGAUAGUAUUUUAUUUGUCCAUCUAUAUUUGAUGGAAAAGAGAAUUUAAGAUAUUUCUGAAACAAAAGCAUUAGUGUAAAACUAAAUUAAGGUAUAAUUAAGUUAGUUCAAUGCAUUAAUUUAAGAAACUUGAUCUAUCCAAAGUACAAAAUUAGAUGAAAUCCAUUUCAAUGGUUAAAAUGAUCAAAAUCAAACUUUUUCUAAGUAUUUUUUAAAAGCAUCAAUAUUAAAAGACAAUUUUAUAUUUAGUCGGAGUUUGGACAAAACCAAAAAGCACACAAAAUCCAAGCGACCAUCUCUAGCUUGGAUAGUCACUUGAUCCCACCUAGAGAUGUGCAUGAGUAAAAGGAUUUGAAAAUGGAAAUUGACUAAAUAUUUAGUUGAUCAAUUAAAUUUGCAAUGUCAUAUGCAAUCCUAAUAGCUAGUCAUCUAAUCAAUUAGGUAGUCAAUCAAGUGUUUGUAAUGACUAUUUUGUACAAAAAACCACAUGUAUAGUUAAAUAUAAUGCAUUUCAUUUAUAAAUCUUCUAAUUCUUGAAUAACGAUCCUAUCAUCCUUUGAAAAUUUUUAUUACACCUUUUUUACUUUUGUUCUAAAACUUACAUAUCACCCUUAAUUGUACCAUGAGAACCUAGCUAUUUUUUUUUUUUUUGUAAUUCAUCAAAGUUAGCUUUUGUAUUCAUUGUUGUAUUAUUUUUAGUAUAACUUAGAAAGCUAGUGUUUUCAAGUGAGUAAAAUUAACUUGUAAAUAUUGUAAAGAUUCAUUGAUAUGUAUCUUAAACUAAGUGUACAAAUUAAAACAUUUGCUAGUAGAUUUUCUCAAAAUUUAGAAUAGAGCUUGAGGCUAUUGAAAUAGGUGGGGUUACACCAAACCACAUCACAUCGUUGUUUGCACCUUUUUUCACUCUCUUUUACUUAGUUUCUCUAUAUUUGUUGUCUAGUAAUAUCCUAUAGGCUUGAUGGGUUAGGGAGCAUCCCUUUGUGAAAAAAUUUCAUUCAAUUCUUAGUUGUAUUACGCAUAUAUAAAAUGCCUCAUUGUUUUAAUGGUAUUCAGUCGUGGCAUCACAGAUAUGGGCAUCUAAAUUUUAAAAGUUUGAAACUUUUGUAAAGCAUGUUGAUAAAAUCCAUGAGAGUUGUGUACUUGGGAAGCAACAUCGAGGUGACUUUAUUUUUUUUUCCUUUUAUAAUGCCACACCUAAGUCCGGUUUCUAAAUGCUAAAGUGAAAGGGUAGGUAUGGACCAUUGAAAUGUGAUCACAACUUUUGGCCUUUUCCUUUCUCUGCAGCCAUGUUGUCUCUUUUUUCUUUUGCAUGAUUUUCUUACCAAAACAGAAUCAUAGACUUGUUUAGUCUCUAAGCUACUAUAUUAUAUCUCGGUGGACUUUUAAGAGUGCAACCGACAUAGAGCACAUGCAAGUGGGCAUAUGGGACAUGAAAUUUCUUCUUACAAAGAUUGCAUGAUUUUUAUAUUAGAGUUGUUCACGUGCAAUGUAUUUAGCUUGUUUUGCAGUUAAAUUAAUUGGAUAAGUAAACAUUGGCAUUUCUAAAUCGACUGUGAAGUGCUUCAUGUACGUGUAAAGUAUUAGAAAUUUCUUUCUUGGCAACUUGUUUUUUCCUUGCCAUCUACUGGUAGGUUUGACUAAAAUUAUAUUCCCUGUCAUGCUAAUUAAUUUUCAUGUGCAUGCUCAAAAGAAGAGUAUGACCUUAGUGCACCAAAAUCACUUUGAUUAAUUUGUGAUAGGUUUUUUUGCAUCAUUUAGAUAAUGUUUAGUUCUAAGAAAAAUUUAUAUAAAAAUGGUUUAUUUAUCUUACAUAUAUAUAUAUAUAUAUAUAUUUUUUUUUUUUUCAUUUUUUUUUCUUCUAUUUUAUUUAUUUAUUUUAUUUUCCUUAUGUUUUCCUCACAUUUUCCGGAACUAAACAUAGUCUUACGAAAUCAACAAUUGCCUUCAACUGAGUAGAUUCUGUUGUUUUAGCAAUGUUAGGCUGCUAACUUGUGGUGGUACGAACCAAAUGACCCAUGUUAAUCUUGGCUUGGUUUGAUUUGGCUCUAUCUCAGAGAGCUAAAGGAUCACGUCAACUCUGGUUUCUACUAUUCAGGUCCAUUCCCAGAUGAACUGGUUCAAAUUUGAGAAAAUGGUAACAGACCUUUAGUGAUGUUGGUUUGGAGCCAGUUGCCAAACCCGCCCUGAGCUUUACCACUAAUGUCAAGGGAGAAAGCCAUUUGAACAAAAACAAUAGCUUCAAGAGACUGAAUCGUGGAUGAAAUCUGAUCCACAUUUCUUCUCAUUUUGGGAAAAAAUGAGAACUUAACUACAAAGAUUCUACUGCCUCAUUCAUAGUGCUUUUCCUGAUCCAAGGUUGGUUCGUUUCCCAAAUUGUGAGGUGCACGUGCCACUCUCACGCUCAGGAGUGUAUCCACGUGGUGGACAUCAGAUGGUGGCUUAAUAUCUGGUGUCGGUGGCUUUACUUUACUAGGAGAGUAGUGUGUCUUCAUCUCAUUCACUGCCGGAGGGUGGCGUAAGCAGUGACGCUAAGGUGGGGCACAGUCAAUAUCAUUUGCAUUUGACCAUUAUAGUUUUCUCCCGGCUUGAAAGUAACCUUAUCGUGAUAAAGGAUUACUAGCACUAGUUCAGAUGACCGUCAUGUUAAUUCGGACCAUGUUUGUGUCACAUUAUCAGCAACCAUGUGUUUAUGGUUCAUGCUAUCUGCAACUAAACUUGAUAUAUAACCAGGUGAACUUCAAUCAAAAUUCUGGAAGUACUCUUGUGAUAGAUGGUGCCUGUCUGCAGAGUCCAUCAAUUGAAAAAUGGAGUGAGUGUAUCUAUAAGAGGGAAGGCUUGGCAAAUGUUCAGUUUUCUGGGAAUUCAACAAGGAUCUAAAAUAGAUUGUUUUCUUUGCCGACUUCAAUGGUUGAAAUUUGAGAAGAUUGUGUCCACAUAUCACAACUAUUACUGGUCCUUCUGUUGCAAUUUAUCCUGUAAGGCUCUAACAUGUCUUCCAAUUCCCACUUCCCUGUUACUCCAGGAAAGCUAUUUCUGUCAUUGUGAAGAAGAAAAGAGAAUGUACAUAUCGAUGCUUUUAAGUGACUGGAGCAUUCAUAUCAGGUGGUCUGCAGCCAUAUAUGCCACUUUGUGAAGGUUGGAACAGUCAAUCACUAGGCUAUAUAUUGGUGUGGCCCAGCCACUUCAAUCAAGGACAAGUCUUCAUACUUAAAGUCAAAUUCUGCCUUUAGUCUCAUUAUAAAUUGCUGUUUAAAUAUUAAGCAAACUUUUGUUUAAUGCGAUUAAGACAGUACUAACUCAAUACUUGUUCUAUUUUUGGAUGCAAAUGCUUGAUGGUUUCAUCAUUGGAUGGGAUAAAGGUGCAUUCAUGAUUAUGAAUACUUGUAGUUAUAUUUUCAUUCUCUUUUUUCUCAAUGAGACUUGUUGGCACAAUGUUGCUGUUCAGAAACCUACCUCUCCAUGGAAAAUAAGUUGCGAUUGAUAGUACUGGAUAUGUUCAAGAAAGCUAAAUAUAGAUAGCACAAAAUAUUAUCGAUAUAAAUAGCAUUAACAGCGUACGUAUGUCUCAAUGCUCAUCAGCUAUAAGCAUGGGACAAACACUUACUAUGAGCAACUUACGUCAAAAUUCCAGAAUAGGACAUAGAAGUGACAGAUCUAUAUAUAUAGAACACUGCAUAUGAGUCACAAGAAAGGAAAUUACGGGUGCAUAGCAGCUCUUAUUUUACAUACUACUACUCAUACUGAUCAAAGUCACUCAGUUGGGAUGGGUGGGAGUAGGAGGUUUGUGGGGUGGCUUGUGCGGAGGAGUUGGCAGCUUCUUUCCAGGACCUGGUUGCUUCUCUGCUGGAGUUGAAGGAGGCUUAAUCUUCCGAGGUGGCUUGUAUGAGUCUUCAGCAUUCUCAGCUGGAGGGUGACCAGGGUUGUGACCAUAAUGUGGUGGCUUCUCUCCCUUAGGUGGUUUGCCAACUGGGGUUGGUGGCUUGUAUGAGUCUUCAGCAUUCUCAGCAGGAGGGUGACCAGGGUUGUGACCAUAAUGUGGUGGCUUCUCUCCCUUAGGUGGUUUGCCAACUGGGGUUGGUGGCUUGUGUUCUGGGAGUGGCUUCUCCCCCUUGGGAGGUUUUUCCAAUGGGGUUGGUUUGUGUUCAGGAGGUGGCUUCUCCACUGGAGGCUUGUGUUCAGGAGGUGGCUUCUCCACCGGUGGCUUGUGUUCAGGAGGUGGCUUCUCCACCGGAGGCUUAUGCUCUGGUGGUGGCUUCUCCACCGGAGGCUUAUGCUCUGGUGGUGGCUUCUUGAAUGGGGGAUGCUGAGGGUAAUCAGCAAGUGAGGGGGCGGUGAGAACCACCAGGCCAAGCAACACCACUAGCAAAUAUGUAGGAGACAUCUUUGGGUUUGGGCUCAGAUGGUGCAAAACUAGGAGAAUUGGCUAGCCUUUUAUAGCGGAUCGUACUCAAUAAUGAAAUGACACGUGUCAUUAUGACCCAUGUGUAAUGGGGUCGAUUUGGGUCCUACAGUGUUGAAAACUUCGACAUCCAGUUUUGGCCUUUUGCUUUCUCUACAGCCGCCUUGCUUUUUCCCUCUUUCCUUUUGUUUUCCUCCUGCCCCAUUCUAUCAACUAAACACAAUUAUGUAGUUGUUUAAUUCUUAAAUGAGAUAUUAUCGGUCAAUCGUAUUAUAUUUUAUCAAGAGAGAACGGAGUGCAAUGCAGCUGUAAUUUUAUCGUUUACUUUUAUCUCUUGGACCACUGCAUUUUUGUUAAGAGGUGCAAUAAUACACGUCUUUAUCUGCCAUUCAAUGUUUACAGUAAAGAGAGGGCACAAAACUCUUCACUGCUCUGCAUGUGUCCCAAAAAUGCGAUUGGACAAAUUAUGAUUUGCAUGCUAAAAAGAGGCAAAUGAGGUUAAUUCGCACCAUAAUUAUUUGGUUUUCUGGACACCAUAAAAAGAUGUUAUACAGGCAGGGAAAAACCUUCAGAGUUAGCUACCAAAGAUAAUUAUCAAGCAGAUAUCACCAAGAGAAUUCCAUAGAGUCUGAAUCAAAGACAGAUUGCUCGCUCGUGGGGGUUCUUACUUUCUUUUGGGUAUAACUCACUGAGGUCACUGUCUUUUUUAUUUGCAUUUCACAGUUAGAGUUCUGCUCUGGAAGGUUUGUUCUGGAAACAUAUAAAAGGAGCAUCAUUUUGUUCUUGGGUAACCCAUAGUCGUGAGUGGGUCCAUUUGCAUGCUACUUAGUUGAAAAGUUGGACAAUUUGCUCCGACGCCUACCUCCUGGAUUCCAUGCUCGGUAAAACAAGAAUAAAAAAAAAUAUAUAAUUUACAAAUGGGGGAAAGAAAAAAUGUCGGAAAAAAUAGUAAAAUUCAUGUCACAUGCUAGUGAGAGAAGGGGUUGUUACACUCACUCGAAGUUCUUUUCAAAAUAUCGAAUGGUAUUUUACUUUAUGUGUCAGCGCAGUUGUGAAUGGAACGUGCAAAAGUCCAAAUUGGCGUUUUUAUUUUUCCCAUGUAGGAUGGUGACCUUUAAUAAAUAUUUAAAACAAAAGACGAAAAAAAAAAGGAGGGAAAAGGGAUCACAAAAGAUAAAAUAAUGUUUACAAAAGCUCAAUUAGUUUGCAAAUUACUGUUUGGAUUUUGAUAGUAUUUUAUUUGUCGUUCUAUAUUUGAUGUAAAAGAGAAUUUAAGAUAUUUCCGAAGCAAAAGCAUUAGUUUGCUCUGUGAUGUCCCACAUCGAAUAGGGGAGAAAGUUUCUGGCGCUAUAUAUGUAGAGGCUCCUCUUAACCAAGUAGAUGCGUUUUAAAACCAUGAGGGCCCCCUUAGGUCCAAAGCGGACAAUAUCUACAUGAUUGGGUGUAAGUCAUUACAAAUGGUAUCAGAGCCGAUCCCCGACCCCGGUGUGGGGGUUUGUUUGGCCCUGUAAGGGGUGUUUGUCUGUUUGACCCCACAAUCCCAUGGGACACAACGAGGACGUUGUGUCUGCAUGGGGGGGCGUUUGUGAUGUCCCACAUCGGAUAGGGGAGAAAGUUCCUAGUGCUAUAUAUGUAGAUGUUUCUCUUAACCAAGUAGAUGCAUUUUAAAAUUGUGAGGGCCUCUUUGGGCCCAAAGCGGACAAUAUCUACAUGGUUGAGUGUAAGUCAUUACAUGCUCCAUGUCAAUUUCAGCAUUUCUCAUAUGUUUCACACAUACACAGAAGAGCAUCGUUUUUUAAAGCAUGCAUUUAUGUUGGAUUAAUUUGGAUUUUGUGGGAACUGGGGCAAGGAUCACAUGGAAGAGAGGUUGACUUUUUUCAGUACUUCAAUGGUUGAAAUAUGUGAAGGCUUGAUUGAUACUAAAGCUUGAAAUUGCGACUCUGUCAUUUGUAAAAAAAUAUGACAGCUUCCAUGCUCUCGUUUGGUUGCAUUGUCCGGUCGAGAGGUGCAAAAAGCAUUCUCUCUCUUCUAAUAGUCUUUUCGUUUAAAUCAAGGGAUUUGCCUUCCCGGUCGAGGUCCAAUAGAGGGUAACGGUCACCUACUAAACAUUAAAUGCUCCAACAACUAGUGAACUGAUCGACCCCAGCUCGACUAGUUGAGGUUACUUUUUGGUUUUCUUGUCUCCCGAGGUUAGAAACCUAUAAAUAGAGAGCUUCACUUCAUUUAUGAGUAAGAGAACACCUAAAUUUAUUUGUUUACCUACUUGUUUUUGCCAUAAAAGCUCUCAUUUCUUUUCUUGGUGUAUUAAAUCUCCAUUUGCAUAUCCUUUAGUGCACCUUUGUGAUUCAUUCUAGCCUUGAGUUGUAUUUAAGCCUUUGUUGAGCUAGGUUGAGAGUUUCAUACUUGUUUAUUGAGUGUUAAAGCCUUCAAGUGAGUUAAAACUUGAAGAGAUUGUGUAAGAGCCCAUUGGAGUCGGAAUCCAAGUGUAAAGGUGAUUAAAAGCUUGGUUGAAGCUUCAAGUUAGUGGAACUCUCACUCGGUUAUGAGCUUGAGAAGAGUGGACAUAGACAAGGCAGUGUCGAACCACUAUAAAAUCUGAGUUUGAUUUCUCUAACCUUAUCUCUUUAUAUUUGCUUCUCUUGUGCUUAAAUUUUUUGUGUUUAAAAAGAAUUUUUAAAAACUCAAUUCACCCCCUUCUUGGGAGUUUUUCUCUUUUAAGAUCAGCUUUUAUUUUCUCAAUUGGUAUCAGAACUAUGCCUCUUGUUUAAGACUUAAUCGUCUAAGAGGAAAUGGCUAAUCCAUCAAGUUCAUCUCACAUUGAAAGUUUUGCAACCAAUAGACUUCUUUUUUUUUUUUUGCGGGAACUGAUUAUCCCUAUUGGAAAACUAAAAUGACUUGGUUUUUACAAUCAAUUGAUUUAGAUGUAUGAGAUGCCAUUGAAGAUGACCUAACUUUUCCUUCAAAACUAGUUGAUGGAGUCAUGGUUCCAAAACCUAAGCAAGAAUGGGAUGAGCGUGAUUGAAGAAAUUUUCAAUUAAAUGCUAAAGUCGUUUAUACUUUGCAAUGCUCUAUGGACAGAAAUGAAUAUAAUAGAAUAUGUCAAUGCAAAUCGGUUAAAGAAAUUUGGAGAUUGCUUGAAAUAACUCAUAAAGGAACAAAUCAAGUUAAAGAGUCAAAAAUCAAUUUACUUGUUCAUAGAUAUGAAUUGUUUUUUAUGAAAGAUAAUGAAACUAUUGUUAAGAUGAUCACUAGGUUCACCAACAUUGUUAAUGGUCUUAAAGCCUUGGGAAAGACCUACAAGGAAUCCGAAAACGUGAUGAAGAUCUUGAGGUCACUUCCAUCAAAGUGGCAUACCAAGGUCACCGCAAUUUAAGAAGCAAAAGACUUGAUCAAGCUACCUUUGGAGGAGUUCAUAGGGUCAUUGAUGACAUAUGAAAUCAAUUUGGCAAAGAAGUAACAAAAAGGUGAAGACAAAAAGAAGAAGAACAUAACUCUCAAAGCUACAACUAAGGAAGAAGAAGUUGAAGAAGAAAAACAAAUUGAAGAAGAUGAAGAUUUAGCCCUCAUCACAAGAAAGUUCAACAAAUUCAUGAGGGGUGAAAGGUUUAGAAGAAGAAGGUUCACUUCUAGAAGAGACUUUUCUAAAAAGGAAUCUUCAUCUAAUGGUGACAAAAAGAGAUGGGAAGAGAAAAGAGACUUGGUGUGUUUCAAGUGCAAGAAACCGGGACACAUUAAAUAUGAUUGUCCUCUCUACAAAAGUGAAGUCAAGAGGAAAAAGAAUAAGGCAAUGAUGGCCACUUAGAGUGAAAGUGAAGAUGAAUCAUCCGAAGAAGAAAAUGAGAAAGAAGUGGCAAACAUGUGUUUCAUGGCAAUAGAUGAACUUGAUGAGGUAAAAUCUAACCUUAGUGAUUAAGAUAUACAUGAUGCAUUUGAAGAAUUGUAUGAGGAUUUUUAAAAACUUAGUUUGAAAAAUAUUUCUCUUAAAAAGAAAGUUCAACAACUUGACAAAGAACUUAGAGAAGUAAAAGAAAAAUUUUCAAAUGUUAAAGUUUCUAAAACUCAUCUUGAAAAAGAAAAUGAGAUUCUAAGAAAGAAAAAUGAAUAGUUGAACUCCUCUCUUUCAAUCUUUUCUUCUAGACAAAAAUCUUUUGAAAUGAUUCUAACUAGCUAAAAAUGUGUUUUUGACAAACAAGGGUUAAGAUUUAAAUCUUCAAAAAAUCAAAAGUAUUUUAAAAACUAUUUUGUAAAGGAAUCCACAAGUGCAAGUCCUUCCACUACUUGCAACUUUUGUGGAAGAGAAUGGCACAUUAGUAGUACGCCCUUUAAGAAAUGGUUCUCAAAAGAAUUUAAAUGCAAAAACUAAAAAAGAUUUGGAUUGAGAAAUCCAAGGUCACUAACCCUCAAGGACCCAAAAAGAUAUAGGUACCUAAAUCAACUUGAGUUUUAUGUUGUAAGGUUCAAAGAAUGAUAAGUGGUUCUUAGAUAAUGGUUGCUCAAGACACAUGACCGGAGAUGAAUCCAAGUUUGCUUUUCUUAAAAAGAAAAAUGGAGGAUAUGUUACCUUUGGAGACAAUGCAAAAGAAAGGAUGAUUGGUCAAGGCAACAUUGGUAAUGGCACAUCCUCUCUCAUUGAAAGUGUUUUAUUAGUAGAUGGUUUCAAACAUAACCUUUUAAGCAUUAGUCAAUUUUGCGACAAAGGUUUUUAAGUGAUUUUUUAAGCAUCUCAUUGCAUCAUCAAGGAUAUUCAAAAUGAUAAAACCAUUUUCAUGGGCCAUAGAUGUGAUAAUGUUUAUGCUAUAAAUAUUUCAAAAUAUGAUGGCCAUGAUAGAUGUUUUUCAAGCAUGCAUGAUCAAAGUUGGUUGUGCCAUAGGAGAUUGAGACAUGCUAACAUAGACCUCAUUUCCCAACUCAACAAAGAUGAACUUGUUAGAGGCCUUCCCAAAAUAAUUUUUUAAAAAGAUAAAGUUUGUGAAGCUUGUCAAGUGGGAAAGUAAAUCAAAAACUCUUUUAAAAACAAAAACUUCAUUUCCACAUCUAGGCCACUUGAGUUGUUGCAUAUGGAUUUAUUUGGUCCCUCUAGGACACCAAGUCUUAGAGGAAAUUCUUAUGCAUAUGCUAUUGUGGACGACUUCUCUAGAUACACAUGAGUCUUGUUUUUUAGUCAAAAGAAUAAAGUUUUUUAUGAGUUUUCAAAGUUUUGCAAUAAGAUUCAAAAUGAAAAAGGUUUUUCAAUUACUUAUAUAAGAAGUGAUCAUGGGAGAGAAUUCGAAAAUAUUGAUUUUGAAGAGUAUUGCAAUGAGCAUGGAAUUGACCACAAUUUUUUGGCUCUUAGAACUCCUCAACAAAAUGGGGUAGUUGAAAGGAAAAAUAGAACUCUUCAAAAAAUGACAAGAACCAUACUAAAUGAAAACAACUUACCAAAAUAUUUUUAGGCCAAAACGGUUAACACUUCUUGUUAUGUUUUAAAUAGAGUAUUAUUGAGGCUCAUACUUAAGAAAACUCCCUAUGAGCUUUGGAAAAACAAAAAACCCAACAUUAGUUAUUCCAAAGUCUUUGGAUGCAAUAUUUUAUAAUAAACACCAAAGACAAUCUUGGAAAAUUUGAUGCAAAAUUGGAUGUUGGAAUUUUCCUUGGUUACUCAACUUCAAGUAAAGCUUUUCGAGUUUUAACAAAAGAACCAUGGUUGUAGAGGAGUCCAUCCAUGUUAUUUUUUAUGAAUCUCCAAGAAAGAGAGAGGAUUGAUGAUGAUUUAGGUUUGAAGACCUCUAUAGGAAGAUUGCAAAUCGAAGAUAGAAGACAACAAGAAGAAAAUGGAGAGAAUCCAAAGAAAGAAGGAUCACCAUUGGCACUACCCCCUCAUCAACAAGCGCAAGGUGAAUCAAGUCAAGAGCUUCCUAAAGAAUGGAAGUUUGUCAUCAAUCACCCACAAGAUCAAAUUAUAGGCAAUCCAUCUAGUGGGGUAAGAACUAGAUCCUCUCUUAGAAAUAUUUGCAAUAAUCUAGCUUUUAUCUCUCAAAUUGAGCCUAAAAAUAUAAAUGAUGUUUUAGAUGAUGAAAAUUGGAUAAUUGCAAUGCAAGAAGAGUUAAAUCCAUUUGAAAGAAGUGGAGUAUGGGAAUUAGUACCAAGACCUUCAAAUCAAAGUGUUAUUGGAACUAGAUGGAUCUUUAGAAAUAAAAUGGAUGAAAAUAGCAUAAUUGUUAGAAAUAAAGCAAGAUUGGUAGCCCAAGGUUUUAAUCAAGAAGAAAUGAUAGAUUAUGAAGAAACCUUUGCCCCCGUAGCUAGGUUGGAAGCCAUUAGGAUGCUACUUGCCUUUGCAUGUUUUAAAGACUUUGUUUUAUAUCAAAUGGAUGUGAAAAGUGCUUUUUUAAAUGGUUUUAUAAAUGAAGAAGUAUAUGUUGAACAACCACCCGGUUUUCAAAGUUUCAACUUUCCUAACCAUGUUUUUAAACUUAAAAAGACACUUUAUGGUUUGAAACAAGCACCUAGAUCAUGGUAUGAAAAAUUGAGUAAAUUUCUUUUGAAAAAAAUGUUUUAAAAUGGGAAAAAUUGACACAACUCUUUUUAUAAAAACCAAAGAAAAUGAUAUGCUCUUAGUUCAAAUAUAUAUUGAUGAUAUCAUUUUUGGUGCUACUAAUGUCUCUCUUUAUGAAGAAUUUUCUAAGUGCAUGCAUAGUGAGUUUGAAAUGAGCAUGAUAGGAGAACUCAACUUCUUCCUUGGACUUCAAAUCAAGCAACUAAAGGAAUGAACCUUCAUCAAUCAAGCAAAGUAUAUAAGAGAUCUUCUCAAAAGGUUCAACAUGGAAGAAGCCAAAACAAUGAAGACUCUAAUGAGCUCAUCCAUUAAGCUUGAUAAGGAUGAGAAAGGUAAAUCCAUUGACUCUAUUAUGUAUAGAGGCAUGAUAGGUUCUUUGCUCUAUUUGACCACUAGUAGACCUUACAUUAUGUAUAGUGUGUGUUUGUGUACUAGAUUUCAAUCUUGUCUUAAAAAAUCUCACUUAAGUGUCGUGAAAAGAAUCCUCAAAUAUUUGAAAGGGACAAUGGACAUAGGCUUAUGGUAUCCUAAGAGUGAUAACUUUGAAUUAAUUGGUUUUUUGGAUGCUGAUUUUGUCAGUUGUAGGGUUGAAAAAUAAAACACUAGUGGCACUUUUCAUUUCUUAAGACACUUACUUGUCUCAUGGCAUAAUAAGAAGCAAAAUUUGGUAGCUUUGUCAACAGCAGAAGCUAAAUACAUAGCAACUGGUUUAUGUUGUGCACAAAUCCUUUGGAUGAAAUAAACACUUAGUGAUUUUGAUUUAUCUUUUGAGCAUAUUCCUAUUAAAUGUGAUAAUAGUAGUGCCAUAAGUAUAUCAAAAAAUCUCGUGCAACACUCUAGGACUAAGCAUAUAGAGAUUAGACAUAAUUUUCUUAGAUAUCAUACACAAAAGGAUGAUAUAACACUUGAAUUUGUAAGCAUAAAAGACCAACUUGCCGAUAUCUUUACAAAACCUCUAAGAACAUUUUGUUGAUAUUAGAGGACAAUUAGGAGUGAUUUCUUUAUGAUCUAAUGUGAUGAAUUCUUGAUGAAUAUACUUUUUGAUUGCAUGAAUUUCAUGUCAUAUAUGCAUCAUAUAGAAAUAUACUUAGAUAAUGGUCAAAUUUCGACCAAAAAUCAAAAUUCCCAUGGCAUUAGGCAUAAAAAUUUUGGAAUUUCAACUGAAAAUGGUAGGAGGAGGAUCACAAAAUGAGAAAGUAUGCAAAAAUUGAAAAAUCAAAACGUUGACCAAGCGGUCAAUCGGACUAGACCGAUCGACUAGUUUGUCGAGAUUUAGGAUUUUUAAGAGACUCCAACGCUUCAAUUUUUGCACCGUUCUCCUCUAUUUCUUCACGGUUUCUCUGAUUUUGUCUUUUAGAGACUAAUUUGAGUGCGUUUUGGAUCAAUUGAAGCAUUUUGGAUUGGAUUUUAGGAAGAUUGAAAGUUAAGGUUUCGGAUUUGGGUCGCCUUCUCUUCCUCUCGCGUGUCACAAUCAGCUUUAGCAUUGUUCUCUUUCCAUUUUCACACACCUAGGGUUUCAGUUGUGAGCAUCUCUCUCUCUUUACCAACCACUACUCCCUUGCUUCUUCCAUAUGGCUCCUAGGCGAGAGUCCGCUACUUCUAGGGCACAAGGCAAGCACCCAACUGAGUCGUCUCAGUCAAAGGCACGUCGAAAAGUGAGAUUUGACAUUGCCUUGUUCAGUUCCAUGGAGGACUACCAACUAUACAAGCAACACUUUGCUUAGAGACGAGUAGUUCCCAAGAGAAAUAUUAAUUUUCCUCAACUUCAGCAUUUCGAAUUUAAGGGUCUAUUUACUAGGAUGGUUGGUUGUCUAUUGUCACAAUUUCGGAGCCGGUUUUCCUGACCUUAGUGCGAGUUUUUUACUCGAGGGCGACUUAUGGCAUGGGUGGCAUGAUCAUUUCUACUGUUGGAGGAGUUGAGAUCUGUCUGGACCCAGAGAGCAUCUGCCAUAUUUUCGAUAUUGCUCUGGUUGGACUCAAAGUAUACAAGUCCAAAAUGUGGCCCAUUGUGCCAGGAUUUGAGCUUAGAGAGGUCAUUCAGAGGAUUUGUGAACUUCCAGACGCCCAGGAGAUGGGCAAACCAUUGCCACACAGUUUGACGGUCAUCAACAGGGUGCUACACCAUAUAUUGUGCUCUAUCUUUCUACCACGAAGUGGACAUUGAGAUGAGGUCUCUUAUUAUGAGGCAUUCCUUAUUGACUCCAUUCUAACGGAGAGACGAAUUCAUCUACUAUGUCAUCAUUCACUAAGCCUCCUCACAGUGACAUACCACCUCAUCAGGCACCUCUUGCUCCUGACCAUGCUCCAUUGAUGGAUUUAUUUACUCAUAUUAGCUCUCUAGGCACUCGCAUGAAGGAGUUUGUUGUAGUUAGUGAUACAUGGUUCUACUCCAUAGAGGAUCGCAUGGAUCAGUAUCAGACUGGCUUCACGUCACAGUUUGAGUAUCUCCAAUAGAGGAUUGAGCAUAUUGAGGAUCACUUGAGCAUGAGAAGAUGAUGGCUUUUCUAUGCUCUGUGUUUCCACCUCCACCUCGUCAACCUUGAUUUCUUAGAGACCCAUUGUUUUCAUUUUGUAAUGUUGCCAAAAGGGGGAGAUAUUUAGGAUCUAGGACUCUAUAGGAGACUUACAUGCAUAUCAUUUUCAUAUCAUUGUUUGGAUCGUACAUAUUGGAUAGUGAUACUUUUUACUUAUAUAUGAUAUGCCUAUAUGUUUCAUGUCUUACAUUGUUUCUUAUUGCAAAUUAUCUCUAACAUGUCUUGAUUAUCUUUUUUUUAACUUCAUAAAUUUUGAUUGUUAACCCAUGAUUGGUUUGAGGGGAAGAUUCUUCUUCUCCUAGAUAACCAAGGUUUGUCAUCAUAAAAAAAUUGGAGAUUGUUAGCCCAAGGGUUCUCCUAAUCAUGUUUUGAUGAUAACAAACCAUGCUUAAGUUACUAAUUGGUUUGAAUUAUAAAGAAUUUCAAGUGUUAAUUUGAAAAUUCAUCAAAGAACCUAAUGGAUGCAAGAUCAAGAUUUUUGGAAGACCUUUAAUCAUAAGAAACAUAUGUAAGAUGAAUGCAUGGGUGCACUUAAGAUUUGCAUAUCAUUUCAUGCAUAUUUGGAAAACACGGUUUAUGCUUUAAAGUUACAUUUCCAUCAAAAUUUGAGAUCCAUCAAAUGAACCUUAGGAAAAAUGUUUUAAAAUUGGCAUAUAAUUUUACCUAAAGACCUUGCCUAAGUGUUAGAAGCAAAAGGACAAAAAAAAUAUAGGUUUUCUGGUCAAAAAUGGUGAACCAGUCAAGGCAUUGUCUAAAUCAGCUCAAUCGGCCAAGGUACCGGUCGAUCGGUUUCCCUUUCCCUGUCGAGAUCUAGUCAAGAGGUACAAAAAUCACAAUCUCUGUCUCUUUCUCUCUUUGUCUAUCUUCCAGUAGUCUUUCCUUCCCGGUCGAGGGAUUUGCCUUCCCGAUUGAGGUCCGAUUGAGAGUAAUAGUCACUUGCCAAAUAUUAAAUGCUCCAACAGUUAGUGAACUGGUCGACCCCCACCUUGCCCAGUUGAGGUUACUUUUUGGUUUUCUUGGCUCCCGAUGUUAGAAACCUAUAAAUAGAGAGUUCCACUUCAUUUAUGAGCAAGAGAACACUUGCAUUUAUUUGUUUACCUACUUGUUCUUGCCUUAAAAGCUCUCAUUUCUUUUCUUGGUGCAUUAAAUCUCCAUUUUGAUAUCCUUUAGUGCACCUUUGUGAUUCAUCUUAGCCUUGAGUUGUAUUUGAGCCCUUUUUUUAGCUAGGUUGAGAGUUUCAUACUUGUUAAUUGAGUGUUAAAGCCUUCAAGUGAGUUGAAACUUGUAGAGAUUAUGUGAGAGUCGAUUGGAGCCGAAAUCCAAGUGUAAAGGUGAUUAGAAGCUUGGUUGAAGCUUCAAGUUAGUGGAAUCCUCACUCAAUUAGGAGCUUGAGGAGAGUGGACGUAGCCAAGGAAGUGUCGAACCACUAUAAAAUUUGAGUUUGAUUUCUCUAACAUUGUCUCUUUAUAUUUGUUUAUCUUGUGCUUAAAUUUAUUGUGUUUAAAAAGAAUUUUUAAAUACCCAAUUCACCCCCCUCUUGGGUGUUUUUCUCUUUUAAAAUUAGCCUUUAUUUUCUCACAAACUAUUGUAGUAUAGUGGUUUUUAGGUGUCAUCCAUUAGGAUGAAUUGUUCUCGGUAAUUAAGGCGUGAAUGAGAGGAGAAUUAAUGAUUGUGAUUAAGUAAAAUUGAUUUGAAAAUUCAUGGUGAAAAAUCAAUUUAACAAUGGUUUCUAAUUGAGAAAAACAAUGAAAUGUGAAAUAAAAUAAAAUUAAUAGGAAAUGAAAUUCUCGAAGUUAGAAUUUUCUAAAAAACAAAUUCCAUGGUGAAUGGAUGUUGAGAUCUAAUUUUCAUCAAGUUAGAUUGAAAACCGAAAUUUUCAUAUAAACUGAUUUUUUAUUUAGUUUUAGGUCUAGAUUUAAUUUCCCUUAAAAUUAGGUUAUUUAAUCCAAGAAAUCAAUUCAAAUCAUAUAUUCAAUUCAUCUUAAAUUAUCUUCCAAUUAUUCACACAAUGCAACUAUUCAAUCUCAUCAAAUCUAGCUUUUAAGAAUUUAAUGAAUCUACCUAGUUUGCAUUGUAAUAGUCAUCCAUGACAAUUUGAAGAGAAAAAUAAUUCAAUUAAUCAAUCACUUGGAUCAAAUUACCUUUGCAAUUAAAGUUCAUUUCUCUAAUUCACCACAGAUUUUGUCUCUAGAUCCUCCUUUCUCAAAGAAAAAUGAGAUUUAGCCACACAUGAUUGGAGAUUUGGUCUCAUAAGGCAUGUUUAGCUAGUGAUAAAAUGAGAGAAAAUAAAGAAAAAUAGAGAAUUCGAUUAAGAAAGAAAAUCUAAAAAAUUCUACAAUUAGAAAUGUCCAAAAAGCUUUUUCAUGAGAAAAUCAAGUUUCUAUUUAUAGGCCAAGGUCAAGUGGACACUUGACAUCAUCUAAGAGGUCUUCCGGAAGCUUCUUCAUCAAGAAAUCUGGAGUUUAAUAAUAAAAUGGUCAUUUCACAAGAGCUCAAACAAUUUCGCAUGAUUAUGUGAAAUAAAAAAUGCAACAACAGCAAUUUACAUCUUCUUGGAGCAUUUCGCAUGACUGUGUGAAAUUUUCACAUGAUCAUGUGGAAUCGACUUGACAACUCUCAUUUAGCCUACAACAUAAUUCCACCUUUUGGUCCAUUUUUCAUAGUCAUGCGAAAUGGAAAUAUUUGAUUUUUAAGUUUUCUUUUGUCAUUUCUUUCAUUUCCUUCUCUUGAUUCCACUUCAACUACCUCCGAAUCCUGGUCCAAACCAAUUGCAUUACUUCUUUCAUUAUGCAUUUGGAUCAUCAUCAACAUUAUUUGUUCUCUUCAAUUUGAUUCAUCUCUUUUGUCACCAAUUUAUCAAAAUCAUACCUUGAAAUGACUCCAAAACUUCAUAAAACUUGUUAGUAACUCUUGCAAGGGCAACAACAUAUUAAUUAAGUGUUUUAGGCAUAGUUACUACUCAAAAGAUGCGAAACUCAUGAUAAUUAUUAUAUAAAAUAUGCUCUUUUUGAGUAGUAAUCAACUUUCUUGCAUAAGCAGACCUUUUAGGGUGGAGUACUAAAGACCAAUAUGCUUGUCCUUGUUGUAAUAAAGAAACUUGCUCUUAUUGAUUGCACCAUGGGAGAAAAUUUUGCUACAUGAGUUAUCAUCAAUUUCUUCCCACCAAUCAUAGAUUUAGACGUGACAAGAGGCCUCUUAAUGGCAAGGAGGAACUGACACUCACACUUAUACAAUUAUCGGGCAUUGAUGUGUUGCAACAAUUAGAAUAACUUACACCAAUUAUGUUGGGGAAGUCACAAAAGGCAAACAUGAAAACUAAAAGGAAAAAAGAAAAAUGUUACAUAUCACCACAACUGGAAAGAAAAAAGUAUUUACUUUCAUUUGCCAUAUUGGAAAGCACUUAUUUUACAUCAUAAUAAUUUAGACAUAAUGCAUAUUGAGAAAAAUGUGUGACAAUAUAAUUGAGACAUUGUUCAGUAUUGACGAAGAAACAAGGACAACCUAAAUAGUCAUCUCGAUUUACAAGCUCUAACUAUUAGAAAUGAGAUUCACCCAAUAGAAAGCAGGACCAAAUUUAUUUUGCUUGCAACAUGCUACUCACUCACCCCAAAUGAGAUUAAGGAAUUUUGCAAGUUUUUGAAAUCAAUAAAGGUCCCCAAUGGCUAUUCUUUCAAUAUCUCUCGUUAUGUGCAACUCAAUGAAAGGAAGAUAUAUGAGCUCAAAUUGUAUGAUUGUCAUGUCCUAAUGCAACAACUUCUCUCACUUGUAGUUCGUGGAGUUCUACAUAAGAAUGUUUGUGGAGUUAUCAUAGAAUUGCGUAAUUUUUUCAAGCAAUUGUGCUCAAAGGUGUUAGAAACAAAUCACUUACACCAACUUGAGAACAAUAUUAUUGUCAUACUAUGUAAAAUGGAGCAAAUAUUUCUUCCAUCAUUCUUUGAUAUUAUGGUGCAUUUACUUGUGCAUCUAGUAAGGCAAAGGUUGCAAGACUUGUGCAAUAUUGUUGGAUGUACCUAAUUGAACGAUAUUGUUAUAAUUUCAUAUGAAUCAUUUAAUUUUAUUUUAUAUUAUGUUCAGUUCAUUAACAUGUACAUUGGUCUACAUAUGGAUGAUGAUAGGUACCUAAGCACUUUAAAGUCAUAUGUGCGUAAUAGAACUUUUCUAGAAGGUUCUAUUGUAGAAAGGUACCUUGCAAAAGAAUGUACAACAUUUUAUUCUAGGUACUUGAAUGAUGUGGAAAUAAAGUAUAAUCACAAUGAUAGAAACUUUGUUGGUUUCAACACUAGAGGAGAUGAAAGGGGUUAUCUUUAAACAUAUUGGACAUGCAUUGGGAAAGCCCAUAUUUCAUUAACUUAGUUCAAAAGAGUGGUCACAAGCACAUUUAUAUGUGUUGACAAAUUGCGAAGAUGUCAUACCAUUCAUUGAGUAAAAAAUUUAUUUGAAUUUUAAUUAAAGCUCUAGUUUAUAUCCUUAAUCAAUGUUUUUUAAAUUCACAAGGAGCACAAGCAAACCAUCAAGGCUAGACCACAUAUACGUGUUUGAGACGUAGAUUUAAUUCAUAACAAGGAAUUUAUCAAGUGGUUUGAAAGACAUGUAAGUAUAUUCCUUAUUAUAAGGGAUUUAUUUCACAUUAUGUUUAUAUUGAAUCCAAACCUAUUAUUGAAUUGUAGGUUGAACAAUUACAUAAUGAAGGUCAUAUAUCUGAACACCUUCUCACAUUAUCAUGUGUUCCAAAUUCAUUAGUUACAUGCUUCAAAUGAUAUAUUGUCAAUGGAUUUAGAUCCCACAUUAAAGAACGUGAUAAAAAAGUUUUUAAAAAAAGACUCAGAAUAAUGGAAUUGUUGUAGUUGCAAAAACGUCAAGCUUUACAAGUGCAUGUGAUAUGAGUCCAAUUAUUAGUGAUGCUCUCUACUAUGGUGUUCUAACUAAAGUUGUUGAGUUACAUUAUCUUGGUGAAAAUAAGGUUGUUUUAUUCGAGUUUGAUUGGUGGGAUGUUACAAAUAUUGGAAAAUUGAUAAAAGAUGAUGAGUACAAUUACACAUUUGUUAACUUUGCAUGAAUUCUAACCACGAACGAACGAUUUGUACUUGCAUCUCCAGCAAAGUAAGUGUUCUAUGUGAAGAAUGCGAAUGAAUCAGAUUGGCAUACUAUCAUGGAGAUGCAACCUCAAGACCUCUAUAAGAUGAACGGGAUAGGAUCCAAUGGUGAUUUUGAACCAUUUCAACAAAGUGAACUACAUGAUCACUAAUAUAUCUCAGAUUUAGUUGAUGAAGAUAUAAUCAAGUGGAACAAAAGUGAUGUUUUAGGACUAAUCAUCCUAAAAAAUAUUGUAGUUUCUUAAAAAAAAAAUGAAAAUGAAGAAGAUAAUUGAACCUUUGUCAUACUUUAAAAAGCAACUAUGCAUUGUUCAUUUUGUAUGUUUUGGUUUUCUUCAUUUAAUUUCCUGAUUUUUGUGAUUCAAUGUCAUAUUAUUGAUCUUGAAAUAUUUUUCUAAUUUUUCAUUCUACGAUGGUUUCAACAAGGAUGACAUCAAGUCAAAAAAGGAAAUGUGGUCCCACACACAAUAUUGCAUUACAGGGAUUAAGGUCAGGGAAGAAGGUAAAAGUUGCAUUUAAUGAGUACAAUCAAUUGGUUAAACAGAAAAAUGGAAAACACUUAUCGAGCUACAUAGGGACACUUGUAUCUAACCAACACAAUGUACCUCUCCAAGCUAGUGAUUGGAAAAAUGUUCCAAAUGAUGCAAAAGAGAAAGUAUGGCCUUUGUUUUGGUAUGUUGUAUUUCUCACUAUAUGAUGUCAUUUCACUGUUAUUCUAUUUUGUGACUAACGUUUGAAUCAUAUGUAAGAAAAAUUUGAAGUAGAUAAAGACUGAAAAGAUUACAUGUUGGGUAUAGCCUCAAAUAAAUAUAGAAGCUAUAAAAAUAUGAUGAAUGCAAAAUACUAUGACCCUUGGCAUAAGGAUGCAUGAGGAGAGGUUAAUACAUAAAUCACCAUUUGUCUCUGAUGUUGAUUGGAAGUGGCUUGUCUCUGAUGCAUAAACCAAAUCCCCCACUGAAUGUUUGAUAUUUGAUAGCAGGAAAAACACACCCGCAGCUAUACACCUCCAUCAUUCAGAUAAUUAUAGUGGGGGAGAUGAUUCAUGGUUGCCCUUAUACCCUUUAUUUGCACCAUCUAUUGAGAUUCUUUAUCAUGGCCAGGUUUUACUGCAGCAAUAAGAUAUGGUGGCAACAAUUUUAUCUAUAGGUGCGGUUCCAGACCGCCUCCAUAGGUGCGGUUCCUGACUGCCUCCAUAGGUGCCUCUUCUUGUAAUGUUUGUUCUGGGAAUUACACUUGAAAGCCUUAUCGUGAUAAGGGAUUACAAACACUAGUUCAGAGGACAGCCAUGUUAAACUUCCACUAUGUUUGUGUCACAUUAUCAGCAGCCUAGUGUUUAUUGGUCAUGCUAUCUGCAACUAAUAUAACCCGGUGAACUUCAAUCUAAAUUCUGAAAGUACUCAUGUGACAGAUGGUGCCUUUCAGCAGAUAUCAUCAAUUUAAAAGUAGUGUGUGUGCCUAUAGGUGGGAAGGCCUUGGCAAAUGUUCAGUAUUCCGGUAAUUCAAGAAGGAUAUAUCUAAAAUAGAUUUUCUUCUUGCCCAUUUCAAUAGUUAAAAUUUGAGAAGAUUGUGUCCACAUCACACAAAUAUUAUUGGUCCUUCUGUUGCAAUUUACCUCUGAACAUGUCUUCCAAUUCCCACGGUCCUGUUACUCCAGGAAAACUAUUUCGGUCAUAUUGAAAAAAAAAAUAUUAAAGAAGGUACACAUGCUUUUAAGUGGACUGGGGCAUUCAUAUCAGGUGGUCUGUAUCCACAUAUGCCACUUCGUGAAAGGUGGAACAGCCUAAUCACUAGGCUAUUUAGUGUGGCCCAGCCACGUUAAUCAAGCACAAGUCUUCAUACUUAAAGUCAAAUGGUGUCUUUAGUCUCAUUACACAUCGCUAUUUGAAGAUUAACUCAUCACUAGUGUAAUGCGAUUAAGACAGUCCUAACUCAAUAUUUGUUCUAGUUUUGGAUGCAAAUGCUUGCUGGUUUCAUCAUUGGAUGGGAUAAAGGUGCAAUCAGGACUAUGAAUACGUGCAGUAAUACUUCAUUCUCUUUUUUCUCAAUGAGACUUCUUGGCACAAUUUUGCUGCUCAGCAACCUACCUUUCCAUGGAAAAUCAGUUGUGACUGAUAGUAAUGGAUAUAUUCUAGAAAGCUAAACAUAGAUAGCAUUCAAUAUUAUCGAUAUAACAUUAACAGCGUAUGUCUCAAUGCUCAUCAGCUACAAGCAAUGGACAAACACUUUGAGUAACUCACAGCAGUCAAAAUUCCUAAACAGGACAGACGUGACAGAUCUAUAUAUAGAACACUGCAUAUGAGUCACAGGAAAAGAUAAUACGGGUACAUAGAAGCUCUUAUUUUACAUAUUACUCAUACUGAUCAAAGUCGCUCAGUUGGGAUGGAUGGGAGAAGGAGGUUUGAGGGGUGGCUUGUGCGGGGAAGUUGGCAGCUUCUUUCCGGGAGCUGGUUGCUUCUUUGCUGGAGUUGAAGGAGGCUUAAUCUUCCGAGGUGGCUUGUAUGAGUCUUCAGCAUUCUCAGCAGGAGGGUGACCAGGGUUGUGACCAUAAUGUGGUGGCUUCUCUCCCUUAGGUGGUUUGCCAACUGGGGUUGGUGGCUUGUUUUCUGGGAGUGGCUUCUCUCCCUUGGGUGGUUUGCCAACUGGGGUUGGUGGCUUGUGUUCUGGGAGUGGCUUCUCCCCCUUGGGAGGUUUUUCGAAUGGGGUGGGUUUGUGUCCUGGUGGUGGCUUCUCUCCCUUGGGAGGUUUACCAAUUGGGGUCGGUGGCUUGUGUUCUGGGAGGGGCUUCUCUCCCUGGGGAGGUUUAGUGGGUGGCUUGUGUUCUGGAGGUGGCUUCUCCACCGGAGGCUUAUGCUCUGGUGGUGGCUUCUCGAAGGGGGGAUGCUCAGGGUAAUCACCAAGUGAGGGGGUGGUGAGAACCACCAUGCCAAGCAACAACACUAGCAAGUAUGUAGUAGACAUCUUUGGGUUUGGACUCAGACAGUGCAAAACUACGAGAAAUCGCUAGCCCUUUAUAGCGGCUCGGACCUAAUACUGACAUAAUAUAAAAUAAAUAUUAUAUUUUAUCAAGAGAGAACAGAGUGUAAUUUUAUCAUUAAUACCGAUCGAGGCCAAAGAAAGAAGACCCAUAAUCCAUUUCCCACAAGCAUACACAAUGCAGCUGUAAUUUUAUCAUUUACUUUUAUCCCUUGGACCACUGCAUUUUUGUUGAGAGACACAAUAACACAUUUUUAUCUGUCAUUCAACAUUUACAGUAAAGAGAGGGCACAAAACGCAAUUAGAUAAAUUAUGUUUUGCCUGCUAAAAAGAGGCAAAUAACUUUAUUUGCAACAUAAUUAUUUUGGUUUCUAGUGACCCCGGGGCCUUUCGGUUGGUUUGGGAUCGGAAAAUGAACAUCAUAGGGGGGGUUGUGCCCUUAUGGGCAUAUAUAUCUGAUAGCUUCAACUGGCCUUGUUCCUAGAAAGAAAUUGCCAAAGAUAUAAACUUAUUCCAGGCUGAAAGUAGAUGAGAGUCAUAAUGAACAUCAACCUUUGUUCAGUUUGAUUCAAUGCCCCCAUAGUGUUCAUUUCACAGAUCUGAAUGAUUAUAUCCGUUGAAUACAUAAAUUAAUGAAGACAAAUAUGAAACCCAAGAUACAUCUCUGCAUAACAACCCCAACCCUGGUUGCUAUGUUUCCCUUCUUCUAUUCACAUGAGGAUACUGGUUAUAAUUGUCAAACUUGCAACAAGCCCUUUGACACCUAACGUCAAUGGACGAAUUAAAAGUCUCCUUCAAACGUCUAUUUCACAGCAUGAAGCUUAUAAAGGAUGCUGACAACCUUCAGAGUUAGCGACAAAAGAUAAUUAUCAAGGAGAGAUAGUUCCAUGAGAAUUCCAAGGAGUCUGAAUCAAAGACAAAUUGCUCACUCAAGGGUUCUUAUUUUCUUUUAGGUACAAAUCUCUUGAGUGUUGUUAAAGAAACACGUCACUGUCAUUUUGAUUUGCAUUUAACAUUUCACUUUUGUUCUGGAAGGUUUGUUCCGGAAACAUAUCAAAUGAGCAUCAUUUUCUUCUUCGGUGACACAUGGUCGCGAGUACGUGGGUCCAUUUUCAUGCCACUUAGUUGAAAAGUUGGAAAGAAAAAACAUGCCAACAAGAAGAUAGUGAGAGAAGGGGCACUUCAAGCCUUUAACAUGAACAAACAGUAAAUAAAAGAUGUUUCUCCACUCAUAAAAGUGUGUUAGAUAGCAAUAUAACGAAUCACAUCCAAAAUCUUUACUAGGCUCAAACAUAAAGAAGACUCAUUUUUAAGAAAAGAUAAAAAUGGCAUUGUCUGAUAGUAUCCAAUACACGAGAUGGCACUUAAUUUGUACAAGAUCUGUCAAUGCUGACGCACAUUUUCUGAUUAAAAAAAAACUGAUCAGUCAAAAGCAAUGAAGAGAAGUGAUGACAAUGAAUGAUGCUUCCAAUAUUUUCACCCCUUAUAGUGUUCUUCAUGAUUCAGAUAUAUAAUUGGAAAUAGAACAACCCUAUGCCAUACAUUCGUCUAAGUAUGGUGUCUAAUUUUUUGUGUCAGCGGUUGCGAAUGGAGCGUGCAAAAGUCCAAAUUGGCGUCUCUCCAUUUCCACAUAGGAAGGUGACCUUUAUUGACAAAUACCCAAUAUUUGUAGACAUUCCUUAAAUAUCAUAACUUCUUGUUGAUUUGAAAAUCAUUUUUCAACUACCAUGUUUUAAUAAAUAUUUUUUAAAAUGUAUUUUUAUCAAAGUCCACCAUGAUGGAUAAUAUUCACCAUGCAAUAAUUAAUAAAGUACAAACUAAGCGAAAUGAAAAGCAUUUUCUUUGCUUUGAGUUGAUUUUGGUUGCAUUGAGUUGAUUUUGGUUUCAUGGUUUUUUCAACUCUUAUUUUGAUUGGAAGAUGUCAAGAAAAGAAAACAUAAAGAAAAAUUAAAAGGGAAAAAAGAAGAAAAAUAAAAAAAAAUAGAUUUAAAAGUUAAUAAAUUAUUUUUUAUAUUUAUUUUAAUUCAUUUCACUUAUUUUUCUUUUACUAUAUAAAAUUUAAAUAAUUUAAAUUUUAUAAUUAAUUUAAUUACAUUUCAUUUUCUUCUAUAUUUAAAUAUUGGAAAAAUAUUUUACUUAAUAUUUUUUUCUUUAAUUUCUUUGGCAUUUUGGGAACCAAACUUAGCCUUUAAAAUAAAAAACAAAAAAAAAAUGAAAAUAAGGAGGGAAAAGUGAGAAAAGAUAAAAACAAUAUGUAAAGGAUUUGAAAAGUAUUAGUUUGUAAUUACUAUUUGGAUUUCAAUAGUAUUUUAUUUGUCUUUCUAUAUUUCAUGUAAGAGAGAAUUUAAGAUAUUCCCCAAGGCAAAGCAUUAGUUACCUGCAAUCAGUGGUGAUAAGGCUCCAAGCCAAUUUUGGGCCCCAUAUCUUAAGACAGUACAAUUUCCAUUUCAACAUUUCUGAUUUCUCAGAUGUUUCACAUACCACAGAAGAACAUUGUUUGUGAAAAUAUGCAUUUAUGUUGGAUUUUGUAUGCUGUGGGGACUGGGGCAAGGAUCAUAUGGAAGAGUGGUUGACUUUUUCUGUACUUUAACGGUUGAAAUAGGAUAAGCACGGGCAUUUGUGAGGCUUAAUUGAUUUUGAAGCCUGAAAUUGCGUUUCUGUCAUUUUGUCAAAAAAAUGGCAGAUUCCAUACUCAUAUGUUUGGCCUGUGGCCAUGUACAGAUGCCAUUUAGUGACCAGUUUGUAACUGUCAAUCGUUGCGUUUUGACUCUGCCUCAACAACAUCUGCCAUUGACGGGUUUUCAUACUUGCAAAUCAAAUAGUCUUUCGUCCCAUCAGGAAUUUCGGUUUAAAUAUUAUUAAGCAUACGUUUGGCUGACAAUCAUUAUCCAGUUCAUGAUUUGGUUUCUUACCCUUAAUCAAUGGUUUCUAAGUGAAUAUAUGUAGAAGGAAAUCCGAAGUGUAGACAGUAGUAUCGAUAACUCUCAAUAUUCUCUAUAUAAUAGAAUAAACAGCGUCAUAGUGAUCGUCGCCUACAAGCAAGGUACAAAUACCAAAACGAGUGACUCACAUAGACAUCUCCCAACAAGAUGUAGUAGUGACUGACACAUGGACACAAUUAACUCGUAGAAAAGGAUAAGACCAUUGCACAGCAGCUCUUAUUUUACAUACUACUUAUGCUAACCAAAGUCAAUUAGUUGGGAUGGGUGGGAGAUGGAGGUUUGUGCGGUGGCUUGUGGGGCGGAGUUGAUGGCUUCUUUCCAGGAGCUUCUGGCUUUUUCAUCGGAGCUGAAGGAGGCUCAAUCUUAUGAGGCGGCUUGUAUGAGUCUUCUUUACUCUCGACAGGAGGGUGGCCAGGGUUGUGAUCAUAAUGUGGUGGCUUCUCUCCCUUAGGUGGCUUGCCAACUGGGGUUGGUGGCUUGUGUUCAGGAAGUGGUUUCUCUCCCAUGGGAGGUUUAGCAAUUGGGGUUGGUGGCUUGUGUUCUGGGAGUGGCUUCUCUCCCUUGGGAGGUUUAGUAGGUGACUUGUGUUCUGGAGGUGGCUUCUCCACCGGAGGCUUGUGCUCCGGUGGUGGCUUCUUGGUUGGAGGGGGCUUGGGGUAAUCAGCAAGAGAUGGGGUGGUGAGAACCACCAGUCCAAGGAACAACACUAGCAAGUAUGUGGGAGACAUUUUUGAGUUUGGGCUGAUCAGAUGAUGCAAAACUAAAGCAUUACGUGACCUUUUAUAGCAUGUAGCUCCCAAUACCCACUAAGUAUUGUGGGGUCCAUUUGUGCCCUACGGGGUUGAAAACUUAGACAAUUGGGCAAGGACCCACCUGACUAUGGAGGACUAGUGAGGUGUGAUCAUAGCUUUAGGAUUUUUCUUCCUCUGCAGCCGUCGUGCCGUUGGCAUGAUUUUCUUAAUCUUAAAUAAAGGCAUAGUUAUAGAGUUGUUUAAUCUCUAAAUGGGAUUUUAUAUAUAUCUUCAGAUAGCCAUUAAUAUAUUUGAUGAAGAAAGAAAGACAAGUGCAUACAACAUGUAUACGACUAGCUUUCAUGGAGUUCAUUUAUGAUCAGUUUUCCUGUACAUGUAAACCAGGAUCAUAUAUAUGUUUCUGUUCCACAACUAUUUUGGAAUCUUGUUUAUCAGUUUUUAUCAUUAUAAUGUCACAUAGGCUGCCAACUUGGGCGCUAAAAGAACCAGUUGGGCUAGUUCGUUUCAGAAUUUCAAUGUGGAUUCAGGAAUUGUUUUGUAAGAUAUGCGAAAUAGUAGAGGGAUGAAUAGUGUUUCAUUAAUAAAAGUGUCCUGUAAAUUAGAAGGUGUCAUAGAAACUAUAAUCAAUAAAUAACUUUUUUUCCCCACGGGUGGUGUUUCUUGUGGGGAUCAGUGACUGGUUUAGGUUCACCCAAAAUGAGUUCAGACUAAAAUUGGUUUGAGUCAAUGCCGUGUCUCUUUUUUCCAGAAAUCAACUAUUUUAUGCAUUGAAUAAAUCAUACAAAGAAAAUAUGAACGCCCGCAAAACCUAAACCCUGGUUGCUAACUUUCUAUGUUUCAGUUCUAUUCACGCAAGAAUAUUAGUUUAAGUUUGGGAAAAAUGGCAACUUACCUAGUGAUUACUUGGUUUUGGUUUGCGACUAUUUACGCAACCAACCAUGAGUUUGACUUUAACGUCAUGGGUUGAAGCCUCCUACAGGAAGGGAGAAAGCUCCACAGCUAGCUCCAAAAGAGAAUUAUCACAUUGAUAGCUCCAGAGAUUCCCAAGGGGACUGAAUCAAAGACAAGUUCCUCACUUUUUCUUCUUUUGAGGCCAAAUAUGAACCAAGGAUCACACAACCUCAUUCAACUUCAUAAGUUUGAUUUCAUGCAGUUGAACACUGGGUGAAGGCCAUGACAAGAAUUGAUUCAAAAAUUCUAUCACUCUUUUAAGUAAUGGAAGAUUAUUAUCUCUGAUUGGCAUCACAACAGCACAUGCUCCUAGAUCUUUCUAGACACUCCAUGCAAUGAAAGCACAAUGGAUCUUGUAACGAUAGAAACUAAGCCAUGCUACAGUACUAGAUGAUGAGGUAAAACUAGUAGACACGGGUGGCAGCCUAUAUGGGAGGGACACAAGUCUAAUUGAUUUGCAUUUCAGCAUUAUAGAUAGGUAUGUUUUGGAAGAUUUGUUCUGGAAAUACCGCACCAAGUAGGAUUCUUUUUCUCUUUAGUGGGUCCACUUGCAUGCCAAUUAACGAGUUGAAAAGUAUGAGCACCUACCUCGUGCUCGUGGAACCGAAGGUCAGUGAAGUGGGGCUCCUUUUGGCCUCGUGUAAACUUGAUUCAGAAGUGAAGUUAAUAGUCUUCCAUUCAGAUGGAUACAUGGGAAUUUUUCUCUUUUAUUUAUUUAUUUAUUUUUUUUUUGUGUGUGUAUGUCAAAGGAUAAUGAAUGAAGCGCGUUAGCUUGUUUUCUGACUGGAACCGCAGAUGUCCAAAUUGGAGUUCCUUCAUUUCUUACUUAGGAUUGUUACAUGUAUAAACAAGGUAUAAGAAAUAUGCCAACGUGUCUUGAGGAGUUAUUGAUUAGAAAUAACAAGUCACCCGACUGUAGAGUUCCAAGAUUUGAAUCUUCAGACCCUAUAGCAGCCUCUGGGGUACGUGGCAUCCUAUAGCAUAUUAAUGAAGGCUUUUUCGAUUUAGACUUCACAAUACCAAUUAAUAUGUAUGCACAAAAUGGAGAUGACCCCAAAAAAAACAGAAUCGCCAUAGUUUAUGAGGUUAAGGUGAUUCUCCACUUAAUAUCUACAUUAGCUAAUUAUGUAAAUCAAAUGAACUUCUAUUUUUCCUUUUUUUUUUUGGUUUAUGUCAAAUAGUAGCCCAUAAUUAACCCAACCAUUAGCCUGUUUGAAUUGAUUUCACAUGCACAAUGUUGUAGUAGUUCAUAUUUUGAAUUUUAUUUUUACAAAGGUAGUUAAGGAAAAUGAAGUAUAAUAAUUAUAAAAGCAGACUAUAUACACUACAAUAAUUGUUAGAAUGGUAUCUCAAAUUCUAAUUUAAAAUAUUAUUUUUUGUAAAAGAAAUAUUAUAUAGAAUAUUUCCUAAUUUUAUAAAUGAUUAUAAUUAGAUCUUUAUAAAAUAAGGAAAGUUGGUAAGAAUAUCUUUAUAAAUAUUUUAGGUCAUGAGAGAAAGAAAUGGGAUAAAAAUGUGAUGAAGAGGUGAAAUAAGAGAGUUGAUUAGGAUAUAGAUGUGAAGAAGAAAGGGAUUCAAUAUAUAUAUAUCUUUCAAUUACCACAUUAAAACCCUGUGAACCUUUUAUAUGGUUUACUUUAUUUUUAUAUUCCUCCUUUAAUAUAUUUACAUUAAUGCUUCCAUUGGCACAACAAUAACGAAUUACAAAUACAAGCAACAAGUCCCAUGUUUUAUUACCAAAAGCAGGUAAAAUCCACCUAAUAUAUUACAAUAUAUUCAUCCAAUAUUUUAGACCAAUUCUUCACCAUAAAUAUCAUAAUGUGGCUUUUGUUCUUUCUUAAAUUUAAAUUGAAUUGUCUUAUAUCAAUUUGUUUGUGAUUUUUUCAUUAACUUCACUUUCAUUUGGUUAUCUUUGGUUUUUGAAAAGUAUUAAGGAAUUAAUUAACAAAAUAAUGUUAAGAAAAAUAAUUUUCUCUCUUUUGAUUUUGAUUUUGUAGUAGAAAAAUAUAAUUAAAAUUAUUUAAAAAGUAUGUAAUUUUAAAUUAUUUAAUAUUUAGAUAAAAAAAAUAAGUCUAAUGAGUUUAAAAUAACAUAUAAAAAUAAUUUAUUUAUUUUAAAUUUAUUUUUUAUUUUCCAUUAUGUUCUCUUUCUCUUUUACUUUUUCAUAUUUUUUCUUACGAAGAAUCAAACACAACCUCAUAUUAUAUGUCAAGUGUUUGUCUAUAUUUGAGCAAUGUUAGAUACGGCCAUGGAUUCAUCAAACUAAACUGAUUUUAAUAGAUACUUCACAAAUUGAUUUAUACACUAAAUCAUUGGAUAGCAAUGAUGCAUUGGAAUUAAACGUAGGAUGAAGCUCGAAGAACACUGUUUGUGUAACAACAUAUUUAUGAAAUUAUGCAAAGGAUGAGCUUCGGGGUAGUAGUACAAGGUCAUUAAUGGAGAGCCGUGUUAAACCUUGAUUGUGAUUGGAUUCCGUUAUCAGCAACAGCAACCUUGUUUGUAACCUUGAAAGUCAUUCUGUCCACAUCGAAACUCCAAUUUGACGUUUGUAAUUACCAUUCCUGGAGUGUUCCUUGAUUGAAAUUUAAAUAAUAAUUGCGGCCCACAAGGAAUAUUUUCGAUUCUGUGGGAAUUUGACAAGGUUUGUUAGAGAAGACUGGUGACAUGUUGACUUCAAUGGUUCAAAUAGGAGACGUAUGUGGAUUUGGGGGGUUUAAUUGAAACUGAGUCCCUAUGGCUUUUUAAUAUUUGCAUUGAGCAGUCUCCAUGUGACUUCCUAAUUCCCACCAACCCUCCUGUCCAUGCUGUGAAACUAAAUUGUAAUUUAUCAGCCUUUGUCAAUGGUUUCUAAAUUAAAGAUAUAGACCAUGCAUGUACUUUAAUAAAAGCAAAUCUAAAGUGUAGAUAGCAGCAAUGGUGACACCCAAUAUUCUCCAUAAAAUAGAAUUAGAAUAAGCAGUGUUACAUUGUUCAUGAUCACCUACAAGCAUACAAGAACUUCCAUGAAUAACUCAUAGCAAUUGCCAACAGGGCGUCGUAGAGACUCAUACAUAGAACACUAUCCACCCAGAGGAAAGGACAAGACCAGUGCGCUGCAGCUCUUAUUUUUCACAUGUAUACCACCACUCGUAAUAACCAAAUUCACUCAGUUGGGAUAGGUGGGAGAUGGUGGUUUGUGGGGUGGCUUGUGGGGAGGAGUUGGAGGAGGCUUUAUUUUCUGAGGCGGCUUGUAUGAGUGUGCAGGAGGAUGCCCGGGAGUGUGACCAUAAUGUGGUGGCUUCUCUCCCGUAGGUGGUUUGCCAAAUGGGCUUGGUGGCUUCUCUCCCUUAGGAGGUUUACCAAUUGGGGUUGGUGGCUUGUGUUCUGGGAGUGGUUUCUCUCCCUUGGUAGGUUUGCCAAUUGGGGUUGGCGGCUUAUGUUCUGGGAGUGGCUUCUCUCCCUUGGGAGGUUUGCUAAUUGGGGUUGGCGGCUUAUGUUCUGGGGGCGGCUUCUCUCCCUUGGGAGGUUUGCCAAUUGGAGUUGGCGGCUUAUGUUCUGGGAGUGGCUUUUCUCCCUUGGGAGGCUUGCCAAUUGGGGUUGGCGGCUUAUGUUCUGGGGGUGGCUUCUCUCCUUUAGGAGGUUUGCCAAUUGGAGUCGGCGGCUUAUGUUCUGGAAGUGGCUUUUUUCCCUUGGGAGGUUUGCCAAUUGGGGUUGGCGGCUUAUGUUCUGGGGGUGGCUUCUCUCCCUUGGGAGGUUUGCCAAUUGGAGUCGGCGGCUUAUGUUCUGGGAGUGGCUUCUCUCCCUUGGGAGGUUUUGUUGGUGGCUUGUGUUCUGGAGAUGGCUUCUCCCCUGGAGGCUUGUGCUCCGGAGGUGGCUUCUGAAAUGGCGGGGGCUUGGGGUAAUGAGCAAGAGAUGGAGUACUG
rnacentral:lncRNA from 1 species